rnacentral:lncRNA from 1 species
UUGGAGUGACGCAGAUACCGAGGAACAGUUGUGGGGCCACCAUUGGUGAGCAGUGAUACAGUGGCAAGUAUGUGAAAUAACGCAUAUUACAGUGCGCAAUGAUAGAGUGAGUCUGGGUGGACAAACUUUUGGUGGUACACGUGGUGCUUAAUGAUUUGACGGCUAUGGAGAGAAGUUACAUGAGGGAAAUAAGAUGGAAAAAGUGGCCUCUCUAGAUUUUGGAAAUGUUCUCUGAAGAAAGAAAGAAAAUAAUUUCAAAGGUGGACAAAAAUAGGGUAAUAUCAGAUUUGGAACAUAAUCUUGGUUGGUGAAGAAUAACAUAAUCUAAGGAGAAAUCUAGGGAAAGCCAGUGAGAUUUGAGCUUCGAUUUGGGACCAAUUUAUAGCUGGAUAAUACCAUCAUGGGUUAUCAGAUUCUGUGUGUGUGAGGCUGCCAUAUGUUUCUUUCUUCUAUGAUGGAUAAAAAACGCUAAGCAAUUAACCCACCUAGUAAAAAAGGUAUUAUGGUUAUGAUAAAAACUCUACAGCCUGUGAUUCUAUUUUUGAAGAUAUUCUUAUUAUAUUUAUAAUUAUAAGAAUCUUUAAAAAAGACACGGGUAAAAUAUUAUUCUCACAUCACUAUUCACUGGUGUUAUCGGCUUAAAUUGAUAGAUAAUUAAGUAAAUUUAUUGAGGAAAAGCAAAAUUUAAAUAUAGAUAAUCAAAGUGAAAACAAAAGCGCAAAAAAAGAUGGUAGUUUCAUGAUUGAAGUUAAAAAUUCACUUUGAUUCUUAUUUUUUUUUAAUCAAUAAAAAAUUCGGCAGAGUUUUCUCUAUAUUUUUAGGUAUCAAGUUAUCGACUUUUCAUCUACAAUCCCUAAUUAUCAAAUUUCUUACUCAUCCUAUCAUCCAGGACUUCCUCCUCUCAUUACAUCACAACUUCUAAAUAAUCAAAUUCACACAUGUCUAAACAAUUCAAUAUCCCACAUUUACAUGGAUACAAUCCAAAGAAUUGUUCUACAAAUUAUAACUGAAGUACAUUACACAAUUCAAAAAUUUACAAAUAAGGACCAUUAACGAAAUUAUAAUCGAAAUAAGUACGUAAUUAAAGAAGAAAUUCAUAAUUAAGAUUAUACUACACAAAAGAGCUUUCGAUAAACUGUUGACGCAUUAUAUUACAUAACAAAAUGAUAAAUUCAUUCAUUACAAAAAAAAAAAUACCAAACAAAAUAUAAGAAAACUAAUCUACUGUUCAAUCCGAUAGGGGGAUGUACCUGAAAAUUAAUUUAAUACAAUAAUUCGAUUAGACAGAUGAAGAAAAGAUAUCCAUAAAAUUCUUUUUACUUUCUUUCUUUCUUCCUUUUUUUUUUUUUUGAAAAUUUAGUCAAAAGAUCAUUAAAUUAACUUGCUCAUAUAGUAUUAUAUAUAUCAAUUAAAUUUCAGAAUAAUCUAUUAGUUUGUUUUCUUUUUCUUUUUUAACAUCAACCAAAAAAAUAAUUAUUCUCAUCGCCCAAUUAACCCGGCAUUACUUUCACUAAUAGAUGAUUAAUUUUCCACCAGUCCAUUCAACAAGCACUAUUGUCAUCAAUCCAAAAAUUAGUUUAACGUUUAAUCCAUUCAUCAGGGUACAAAUCCCAUUAACCAGGAAAAUUAAUUCUUCAUCUCGCCUAUUAAUUUGUCAGGGCACUAAUUCUAUUAAAUCAGGAAUUAGUUCAACAAUUUACCCAUUAACCAAGGACUUAAUUCCUCAUCACGCCCAUUCACUAGGACAUUAAUCCCAUUAGUUCAAGAAUUAAUUCAUCACAUCGCAUAUCUUAUUUUUUAAAAUAAACAAUAAAAUAAUUACUAAUUUAUCAACCAUAAUUAAUCAAAUAAAAAUACAUAUUAACCAAUAAUAAAUUCGGGCACCGUGUAAUUACCUAACGACUAAGCUCGAGCUGAAAUUCCCUGCUGUGGUGUCAGCCUGACAGCUUCUCUUGAAUUGACAAAUAUAUCACAUCAUUAUUCUACUUUCCAUAUUGAAACACUCAAUAAAUAAAAUCAUUCCAAUUAUCCUUUUAUUUAUCAAAAUAAAAUCAUUUUGUAAAUUUCCUUCCUAUUCUUCCAAUUUCCACAUUGUAACACAAUUCAUUUCAUCAUUCAAAUCAAUAUAUAUAUAUAUUCUUUAAAUUUAUUUAUUUAUUUUUUACCGUAAUUUAAAUCAAAGAAAAACAUAAAAACAUUUCAUGAUCUAUUCACUCUUUAACAUUAAUAUCAUCUCUUUCUUACACAAUCUCAUCAUCUUAUCAAAAUUCUUAAAUUUUUAUUUUUCUUAUUAUUAUUUUUCCAAAAAUCCCUUCUUCAAGAACACCUAAAAUUUUGCUUUAAUUACCAUAAUUUCUUACUUUCUCUACUCACUUCAAUAAUCUUAACACAAUUUCACAAUCAAUUGUAAUUUUUCAUAAAAUUUAUCAUGAACCCUAAUUCUUCAAUUCACAAAGUUCAAUCAAUUUAAAACAUAAAUUCUUCAAGAAUCUUAUUUAAAAGUGUAAGGGCACCUUACCAAGCAAUAACCAAAGCCUUAACACUUUUAAAUUAAGAAAUUUUCCUUGCUUGAAUUUGUUUUUCCUCUCCUAGCCGAAUGCUUCCUUCUCUUUGAAAAAGCAAGUUUGUUCUUUUUUUUUUUGGCUUCCUUACAACACACACUCACUUGCACUCAUAUAUAUCAAUUUUUUCUCCCCCCCCCCUCCCCUUCCCCCCCACACUUACACACAUAUAAUUACUUAACUUUUAAAAAAUGCCUUUUAUAUCCCUCAAUACUAAAUUUUAUGAUUUUUGGGUAAAAUUUCAUGAAUCCUGACUCCUGUUUAUACCAAAUUUUACACGGGUUAUUUCAAAUUUCACUCAAUUACUCGUUAGUACUUUCAGUUUCAUGAAAUUCACUUUCAUAAAAAUUCUAUUCAUAUUUUUGUGUUUUUUUAUUUAUUUUUAUAUAUAUAUUACUAUUUAUCUGGUAUCAGAGCCUAUUGGGAUCUGGGUGGGAAUAGUAACAUAAAAGCCAGUAUUCUUAGAAAGAACAAGAGACCAUUAGACUAUAGGUAUGCAACUGAAUGGUGUAAGUCCCGUUUGAGUUUUAGGGCAAUAAAUCCAUAUAACUUGCAGCGUGUUCCCUAGUUUAUCUUUCCUUUCUAUGGAUUCCGUCUUUCACAGGACUACUUCUCUUUCAGCUUCCUCUACCUCUGAAUCUUCUGAAAGCAGAAGAAUAGUACAAAGUGAAGAGAUAACUAUUGAAGACUUUACAAAAAACAUUGAUGACUGGAAAAUUCCAAAAAUUUCUCAAACUCAGAUUUAUCAAAAAUCUAAAUAUGAUAUUUUCAAAACAGAUUUUACUAUCAAAACUGAAGAGCGAGAUAUUCAGCUUACCAAACCUUUUGAAACCAUUCAACUCCUCUCUCAAAAAUCCUUACAAAAACAUCUAGCCCGAAACUAUAAAUAUAUUCAUGUUGGCCUUGUCCAGAUUGGAAUAAAACCCCUUACAAAAGAAGGCUUAAACACCUCUAUUCUAGCUGUCCUCCGUAAUGCUAGAUUUCAAAACUUCCAAGACUCCCUCCUCAGUUCUAUUGAGUCUAGUCUUUGCAGUGGGCCGAUAUCAUUUGACUGUUAUCCAAACAUAACCAUACCCCUCAAAGACAAAAAUAUCUUGCAGAGUAUGCUACUACAAAUAAAGACCCACAACUAUGACAUGCUAAAAGGAUCUAUCCCUGUUGCUCUCAUAUUCAAAAUCCAUUACAAAGCCAUGUUCUCAGCCUUUGCCAGCAAAGACAAAUUCCAAUCUCAAAAAGGUGAAACACUCCUACUACAAACAGAUUUAUCCCGCUCAAACACUGUUGUCCCAAAAGCAAUCCAAUGGAAAGACAUAUCCCUACCAGAAGAUUGGAUCCUUGAAGGUGCAGCACCACCAGAACUACCACCACCACCUCAACCCAAUGUCCAAAUUAAAAAUAUUACCCAAUAUACAGAUGGAAAAGUGAAACUGUCUUUCCACCGACACUCUACAAGUUCCAGAUUCUCAGAAGCCUCUUCCUCUUCCAGUACAAUAGAUUUGGGAAGAAUUUCCAAAAUCCCUUCUGUUAUCAAUAUCCCUUAUCACGAAAACCUUCCAAGAAAAUCUACAUCCGAUAUCCCUUCUCCUAGUUUCCAAAAUGCAGACUAUACUACAAAUAUACCAAAACCUGUCUAUACAAACCUUGAGCAACCAUCUCCUCCAACUUCACCGACCUUUUCAGCUAUUACUGAAAAUAUCCAAAACGAGCUGAAUGUUUUGACUUCAGAGAAACAUUUCGUUCUUGACAAAACACUUUUCAAAAAGGAUUUCUAUUCGGCCUGUAACUCUACAAAACGAAUUUGGUUUUUUCAAAACUUUCUCGAGCAAAGAAGUGAAAUACAAAAACAAUUUUAUAAUUUCAUUGAGCUACAUAAAAUACAAAUUCUAUUCUUUGAUUGAUUCGAAUUAUAUUAUGCAUCUGAACAUCACAUUUCAUAUCCUUUUGCAUCAAUUAAGCAUGCAUGCCCGGUCACAUCCAGGUCAAAAACCCAUGUAUGGAACCUCACCAGUGGACCUACAGUUGAGUCUGAACAUCCACAUUUGAGAAAUAUCCAAAUAACCCAUAAUAACCAGACUGUCGAGGCAGCCCCUUACAAAAUAUCCACUGAUGACACCCUUUCCAAUACAAAACACAUCAUUAACCAAAACAACUUUACAAACACCAACCUUAAUACCUUGGGAAAACAGCUUACACGGCUUGAGAAACAAAUACAAAGAACUGCUACAAGUUCAGCUGGCAUUAAAACCUCAACCGACUUAAAGCUAAAAAACCCAGUCUUCAAACCCUACCAAAUUACAAAAACCAGCCAAACACAGAUCCAAGAAAACCAAACAGAUUUUCUUAAAGCUAUUAAAACGCAUCUACAACACCUUGACAGUUCAUCUUUAACUGUCCCUGACACACCACAAAUAACCAACCCUUCUACCUCUACAAAUCAAGUCAACACUUUACAGAAUAGUCCUCAGGAAUCUUCUGAUGAAGGUACUUCUCCACGAAAACCUCUUACCCUAAACAGACUUACCUGGCAAACUCCCAAAACAACCAUUGCCCCAGACAUUUCCAUAACUACUGAACCAACUAUUCUUACUCAACACAAGUAUAAUGCCUCUUCCCUCUAUGAAUGGAAUAUAGAUGGAAUGUCCGAAUAUAAUAUCCUAAACACUCUCCAACAAAUGACCAUGGCAGCGAAUGCUUACAAAACCCAGACAGGAACCCCAGAUAAAGCUAUUGCUGAGCUCCUUAUUAAUGGUUUCUCCGGCCAAUUAAAAGGAUGGUGGGAUUACCAUCUCACUGACACUGAUCACCUGCAUAUCCUAAACUCCUUCCAAACAUAUGAGGACCAAACACCCAUCCUUGACCCAUUCGGAAACACCAUCCAAGACGUUGUGUCAACCCUUAUUCUUACAAUUUCCCUACAUUUUGUUGGAGAUCCUUCACAUUUGAAAGACAAAAAUGUUGAACUCCUUUCCAACCUUAGAUGCAAGAAACUAAGUGACUUUCAAUGGUACAAAAACACCUUCCUUACCCGUGUCAUGCUUAGGGAAGAUUCAAACCAACCCUUUUGGAAAGAAAAAUUCCUUGCAGGACUACCUAUUCUCUUAGGAGAAAAGGUUAGAAACAAAAUCAAAGAUACCUUCACAACAAAAACCAUCCCAUAUGACCAGCUCACAUACGGUGAACUUGUAAGCAUUACUCAAAAGGAAGGUCUGAAGAUCUGUCAAGAUCUUAAACUCCAGAAGCACCUAAAGUGGGAAAUGAAACGUACCAGGCAAGAACUUGGUAGUUUCUGUCACCAGUUCGACCUUUCCACCAAAAAACCCUCCUGUAACGGAAACUGUUCACAUCCCAAAAAAUAUUCAAGCCAGAGACCUCCUUAUAAACGAUCACUACAUAAAAACCGACAACAAUUCUAUUCUAAACCAGAUCAACCUUACUACAAAAAGCCCUAUAAAUUUACCAAGCCCCACAAACCUUUCCAGUCGAAACCUAAAACAAAAUUUGAUCCCAAAAACAUUACCUGUUAUAAAUGCAACCAGAAAGGACAUACAUCCCGUUUCUGCAAGGUCAAUACUAAACUUCAUGAACUCCAAAUAGAUGAAGACACCAUCAACCAAAUACAAAAUCUCUACAUUGAGGCUACAGACACUGACCACUCUCCUUCAGACACUUCUGAAGAAGAAUUCCAAAUCGAUGAAAUAGCAACCACCAGUGCUACUUCAGAUGCCUCUACAAAUUCCAAACAAUUCAACGUCUUGACCCAAGAUCAAGAGUUCAUUCUUGAGGCUAUCAAACGACUUGAUGAUCCUCAACUUCAAAAAACCUAUUUGGAUAAAUUAUUGAAAGACUUCAGCCAACCGGAGCACCCCCAGUCUAACCGCUCUAUAUUAACUUCUGCCAGCACCAAUACCUAUGAUCUUACAAAAAUUCUUGGCAGAAAGAAAUCCAAAACCACAGUCACCAUUCCAGAACUACAGUCUGAGAUAAAAACCCUCAAAUCAGAAUUGCAAAUCCUCAAACAAGCCCAACAGAAAGACUCUGCCAUACUACAACAUCUUCUGUCCAAAAUUGAAAGCCCGUCUGAUACUGAGUCUGAUACAGAGGAUCAAACCAUUGAAUCUCAUGCAUUACCACAUACACUUACAAAUAUUGAGCAUAUUCCAGAUGAUUUCUUAAACGUUCUAACCCAAAUAUCUUCCAAGAAAUAUUUAAUUCGAAUUACUCUUGUUUUCUCAGAAGAUUUCAAGCUUGAUACUAUUGCCUUAUUUGACACAGGUGCAGAUUUGAACUGUAUCAAAGAAGGCGUGGUUCCAAAAAGAUUUUUACAAAAUACCUAUGAAAAACUCUCUGCUGCUAACAAUUCCAAAUUACACAUUGCAGGCAAAACCCAAGCCUCUGUUUUCAAUAACGACAUUUCUCUUAAAACAUUUUUUGUUGUUACAAAAGACAUCAAUCAUACCAUCAUUCUUGGCACUCCAUUUAUUGACAUGAUCACUCCAUAUCAAGCACGUCAUAACUGUAUUACUUCCAAAAUUAAUAACACCAAACUUGUUUUUUCAUUCUUAGAAAAAUCUAAGACUAGGAAUUUAAAUUUAAUUAAAGCAUGUUCCAUACAUACCUGUCAUAUCAAUGCACUAAUUCAUGGGAAACAAUUCCAUCUACAUGAUUUACAAAACCAUGUUUCUUUUUGUCGUAUCAACAAACAAUUACAAAGUUCUGAUUUACAAAAGAAAAUCAUUGAUUUCCAAAAUAAGAUUGAACAACAGAUAUGUUCAGACUUACCCAAUGCUUUUUGGAAGCGAAAACAACACAUCGUUGAUCUUCCUUAUGAAGAUACAUUUUCAGAAAAACUAAUCCCUACAAAAGCAAGACCUAUACAAAUGAAUGCUGACUUAGAACAGCAUUGCAGACUUGAAAUCCACGAUCUCGAGUCUAAAGGUCUUAUCCAAAAGUCUAGAUCACCCUGGUCGUGUGCGGCCUUUUAUGUCAAUACAAAUUCUGAAAUUGAAAGGGGCACACCAAGACUUGUGAUCAAUUACAAACCUCUCAAUUCUGCUUUAAAAUGGAUCAGGUAUCCAAUCCCAAACAAAAAAGAUUUAUUACAAAAAUUGCACUCCGCAUUCAUAUUUUCUAAGUUUGAUAUGAAAUCUGGAUUUUGGCAAAUCCAAAUUGAUCCCAAAGAUAGGUACAAAACUGCUUUUACAGUUCCUUUUGGCCAAUAUGAAUGGAAUGUCACUCAAAAAUACACCAUCCGAAUUUCAACGCAUCAUGAAUGACAUAUUCAAUGCACAUUCAAAAUUCUGCAUUGUUUACAUUGAUGACGUGCUCAUUUUUUCACAUUCCAUAGAACAACAUUUCAAGCAUCUACAUAUAUUUUUUCAUACUGCCAAACAAAAUGGUUUAGUUGUUUCUAAAACAAAAAUUUCUCUUUUUCAAACCCGUGUCCGUUUCCUCGGUCAUUACAUCUGCCAAGGUACCGUAAUACCAAUAGAGAGAUCUUUAAACUUUACAAAUAAAUUUCCUGACAAAAUCACUGAUAAAACCCAAUUGCAAAGAUUCUUAGGAAGUCUUAAUUAUGUCUUGGACUACUAUCCCAAUAUUAGUCGUCUAUCCAAACCCUUACAUGACAGGUUAAAAACCAACCCCAUUCCUUGGUCUGACCUCCAUACCAAUCUAGUCAAACAGAUUAAGAAACAGGUCCAAACUAUUCCUCUCCUCCAUUUAGCUAACCCUUUAGCCCCUAAGAUUGUUGAGACUAACGCCUCUGACCUAGGGUAUGGUGGAAUUCUUAAACAGUUACAAGAUAACAAAGAACAAAUAAUCCAGUACACAUCUGCCCACUGGAAUGACUGCCAGAAAAAUUACUCUACUAUUAAAAAGGAAAUCCUUUCAAUUGUUCUUUGUAUUACAAAAUUUCAAAGUGAUUUAUUAAACCAAAAAUUUCUCUUACAUGUUGACUGCAAAUCUGCAAAAGAAGUUCUCUAAAAAGAUGUCCAAAAUCUUGCUUCCAAACAAAUCUUUGCCAGAUGGCAAGCCAUUUUAAGUAUCUUUGAUUUUGAUAUUGUUUACAUUAAAGGAGAAUCAAAUUCCAUCCCUGAUUUCCUAACCCGAGAAUUCCUUCAAAACAGGUCUUGAUGCCUCCUAAAGCAAAAGCCAAGGACAAGGGAAAAGCCCCUCAAACACAGCCUACAAAACCAGAGAGCCCCAAGCCUUCUACAAAACUCAUGUCUUCCGCCAUCCUCGCUGCCAAGCCUAUCAAAUCUUGGUAUGAGGCAGUUAUUGAAGAUGAAGAAACUACAAAACCACCACAAGUACAAACAGACGCAGUUCAACAUUGGGUUGACACUAUAUCCAAAUCGCCAGAAUUACUCCUGGCAUUGCAAAAAGUAUCCCAACAAGCCUCCAGUGACUCCGUGUCUCAAACAGGUAGUAUUUCCAAAUCACUUUCAAAACCCCAAGGAGGCAUUUUAUCUUCAAAACCCCUCCUUUCCUUACAACAAACAAGUUUUCCAAAAACCAAAUCCAAAUAUAUUUUCAAAAAUGCUUUCCAAAACAUUUUAACUAUGGAAGAAGGAUUUUACCAUGAAAACCCUUCCAUUGCUGCUUCAAAAAUAUUCCCUCCAAAAUGGCACUAUAAACCUUGAAAUCUAGCUCAACCACAAUCCUAUUAUGCAACUAUCCUUGAAAUUACCGAUUCUAUCGAAUUCAAACACUUCAAAUUACAUUCUGAUCACACUGAACCAGCUUACUCUACAUGCAUUAUUCACAAAGUCAUCCACCCUAAAGAUUGGGGACAACCCCUGCAUCAACCUCUCUCCUUCCCAAUACAAUACCGCACAAGCCCCCAAGACUUCAAUACCUCCUACACAUAUUGGGAUUACCAACAGGCAUGGUUUAAUGCCUUCCUCAUACAAAAUCAAAAUCAUAGCCAUUCUUGGCUCUUCUACUUCCACAAUACCAUGAAUACUACAAAUCUCUCCCUCUGGUUCCUUCAAUGGUGGGACUUUUAUGGUUGUCAUGUUGAUUACCUUAAAGAACAUCCUUUAGUUGAAAAUGGUUAUCUACAUUUCAAAAACAAUUUCCAACCAGCUCCCUCUGAAAGAAAGUUUUCUUCCCUCCUUAUCUUCUAUACAAAAUUUUUUGUUCCGUGGGUAUGUUCAUGGUUCUUUGAUUAUAAUUUACAAAACGGACAUCCAGUACUUAUUCGCAAAUUCAAAAUCAAGUGGUGGGAUUCCUUUGCAGCUGAGUCCAAAAGUUCAAAAUUAGCUGUUACGGAAUGGUUACAAAAACAUCAAACAACUCCCAUCAUCGAUCCUCAUCCUCAAUCAAAGUUCUUAGCCAGAAAGGCCCAAACGGCAGCUCUCCUUGCCUCUGCUAGAACUGAGGAAGAAUACCUACAAAUAGUACAAGGAAUUAUGCAAAGCCAAGACCCAGAAACAGUCUUGUCCCAAUCCAGCUCAUCUGGCUCAACAUCUCCUGCCAUUUCCCUCGACAAUGAUAAUGAAGAUGACUGUUUUGGUAUCCUGCCAUCUAUCACGUGACGUUAAAAAAAAAUAAAAAAAAAAAGAGUAUUUCAGGUCUUUUUAAGGCUCAUCUGUUUAGAGCCCAUUUUGGUCUUUUUUAAUGCUCAUCUGUUUAGAGCCCAUUUUGGUCUUUUUUAAGGCUCAUCUGUUUAGAGCCCAUUUUGGUCUUUUUAAGGCUCAUCUGUUUAAGAGCCCAUUUCUUUUAGACUCAGAUGUUUUGAGUCGUUUUUCGGCCUAUCUGUUUUAAGGCCUUUUUCUACAAAAGUUACUAGUUACUACAAACCCACCAAUCAAGUGUCGGUGGCAAGACGACAACAAACGAAGCUCAACCAAAAACGUGGACAAUUUCCAUUUUGUCGCCAUCCAAUCAAGGCAGACAGCACCACAUGGGCUUCUAUAGGUUCUGCCAAAUGCCACAUAGGUUCACAUGGGUCCUGAAGAGCUUCUCCAACAGGACAAUUUGGCCUCUUCCAUGCCAACUCGCCUAUAAAAGGCCACUUCAAAACCCUUAGAGGGCGGACUAAUCUUUCCCCUAGAAAAAAUUUACUCUCCCCUAAAAAUUUGUAACCCAUUCUCCUCUGUAACCAAUAUCUCCUGUCUUAAUUUUGUUACAAAUUUAAGUAAGAUAAUCUUAUUUUUAUCUACGUUUUUGUUAUAUCUGUUGUUGUUCUUUUUGUUACUUUUAAGUAUGCUCUGUGUUUGAUCAAGGAUCCUGACAUUGUUGGUCUUGCCUUGAUCAUUCGCAUCAGAAAUCUGUUUAUAUUGUUCUUUUCUUUGUUCUUUUAUACAAUCAGUAUAUAGGCUGGAAACCUAUGACCCGAUCUUUUAAAGAUCAUUCUCAGGUAUAACAACGCCACGUACUGUUUACUAUUUAUCUGUUUACUAUUUAUCUGUUCCUGUUUACUAUUAUAUAUAUAUAUAUUAACACCCGAACAAAACACUUCAAUUCAGAUUCUCGAAUAUAUCAUCAUUCUUAUAAUUUAAUUUAUCACUUUCCCUCAUUUUUCGUAAUCUUAACUUUUAUUAAUAUCAAUAAUAUUACCCGAGGUUUUAUAGUCUCAGUUGACACUGAUUUUCACCAUAAAAAAUGGUCGAUUUUUGUUUUAAUGAGUUUCAUUUGAUGAAGAGAGUUUCAUUGAAUUUUUUUUUUCCCUUGAAAUUGCCAAAAAAUUUAUGGUUUUUGGGCUAUUUUAUUAGUUUAUUACAUCAUAAAGACCAUUUUUAGGUGUUUUGGUGUGAACUUUGCUUAAAUUUGCAUUUUCGGGUCAAAAACACCCUGCUUAAUUUUCUAGUCACCUCUCCAAUGGUCAAGAACAGGAAAGUCUCGGUAGGUGACAUGUCGCUUUUUUUUUCAAAAUUAUUUGGAGCAUUUUCAAAUAAAAAAAGGCCCAUAUGUACCAACCCUUUUUAAAAUGGGCUUGAUGUGUAGGCCUGACUUACUAGGCCCAAAAGCACUUGAUCUAUUUCUAUUUUUUAAAAAAUUUUGUUUUCUUAAUUGAUAUUUUUUUUUAUGUAUUUUUAAUGAAUUUUUGAAUUUAUAUUUAAAUUAAUACUUUUCUCUCUAAAUAUUUAGAUUGUUUAUUUAGUUUUUUUUUUAAAUAUAGGUUAUCUUUUACUUAUCUUUUAUGUAUUUAAUAUCUAGAAAAAAUUAUUUCAAUUCAUCUAUAUGGUUUUUUUAUAUUUUAUAUGAAUAAACUUUAUUUUCAUGGCGUGUUUAUAAAAAUAAGAAUUAUUUGUUCUUGGUAAGAAAAAGUGACCUUUAAGAUAAAAAAAAAAAAAGAAGAAGAAAAGGAGAAAAGUGUGUAUGAAGAGGAAAGUUAAGGUUAAGUAUCAUAUUUAUGUAUCUUUUACUUUUAUGAAAAUGAUUAUCAUUUUAUUUUAUAAUUUGAUUGGCAUUAAGAACUCUUUAUUAGUUUAUUAGUUCAUAUUUUUGUAAGAUUUGUUUUUUACAUUUCUCAAUUAAGAGAAUCGUAAUACAAUGAAAUGCACUUGAAACAUUGUCCUAUUUUUCUACUACAUUAAAAAUUAACUUAAGAUCCUAUAUGUGGCACGAUGCGUUAACAACUAUUUUUUGUAUUUAUAAACACUUAUGGUCCUUACUUUAUUUUUAUUAUAUGUAAACAUCAACUUUUUUAUUCACAAUUAUAAUUUUCUCUUGAUUUUUAAAAAUACAUUAACAACAUUUAUACAUUUUUCUUUUGCGUUCAAAACAUUAUCUGACUCGUAGCAAAAUGAAUUAAAUAAACAUGUCAACACUUUUUUUUUGUAUUUAUGAUUAGGAUUUGUUUUUGUUAAAAAUGCAAUUGAAAAGCAUACAAAUUUAUUUUUUUGCUAAAAACAAUUUUGUGAUCCAUAACAAAGUACGAGUUAAAUAACUACUAAUAUGGCUAUAGUAAGUCUUUUAGUAUAUAUGGAUGUAGGAAGCAAUGUGUUAUAUUAUUAGUUAGAUAUAACUUACCUAUUCAUUAUUAAAAAAACAUAAAAUAAAUAAAUAUAUUAAUAGAAACCUAAAAGAGAUCGGCUGAAAUAUAAUAUUUUUGUCCUUUUUUUAUUUUGUUUCACAUUUCUCAAUUAAGAGAAUCAUGAUAUAAUGAAAUGUAUUUGAAACACCGUCCCAUUUUUCUACUACAUUAAAAAUUAACUUCCUACAUGUGGCGCGUUGCGUUAACAAUUGUUUUUGUAUUUAUUAACAUAUAUGAUCUCAAGUUUAUUUUAUUAUAUGUAAAUAUUAACUUUUUUUAUUCACAAUUAUAUUUUUUCCUCUCGAUAUAAAAAAAAUACAUUAACAACACUUAUACAUCCAUUCUUUUGUGUUGGAAAAUAUUAUUUGACCCAUAGCGAAGCGAGUUAAAUAAACACGUCAAUAUCUUUUUUUGUAUUUGUGAUUAGGGUUUAUUUUUUUUUUGUUAAAAAAAUACAUUUGAAAAGCAUUUAUAUUUAUUUAUUUUGCUAAAAAACAUUUCUUACCUUUAGUAAAGUGUGAGUCAAAUAACUACUAAUAUGGCUAUAGUGAGUGUCUUUUUAUACAGUAUACUUGGAUGUAGGUAGCAAUGUAUUAUAUUAUUAGUUAGAUAUAACUUACCUAUUCAUUAUUAAAAAAAACAUAAAAUAAAUAAAUAUAUUAAUAGAAACCUAAAAGAGAUCGGCUGAAACAACAUAGUCUCCAAGAGGAAAUAUUGUGAAUUCACACAAUGUUUACUUUCUUUUUUUUUUGUCCUUUUUUUUAUUCAGUUAUCUUUGAUGAUGAAUUAAUAAAGAUUUGAGAUGGUUUAAUUUCACAAAAUUUUCUUUUAUUGUUUGUAAGAAAUUGAAAAUGAGAAGAUCAAAAUUAAAAUAAAUAAAAAACCAAAUUUUUUUUUAAAAAAAAUAUGGUGUCAACUUUGCUUUUUAUUUUUUGCUUUUAAUCAUCUAUUUUUUUUAUAUAAAAAAAUAAUCUUUCAAUAUUGUGUUAAUUAUUUAUUUAUAAAAAAUUAAUCUUUCAAUAUUGUGUUAAUUAGAAUUUGAAAUUGGUAAUUUUAUAUGAGCAUCUAGAACUAAAUAAAAAGCCGCACCAUUGGUUUGGUGCUCAACUUUACAAAUAAAAAAAAAAAUCGAUUGUAUUGUUUUAGAAAAAAUAAAAAGAUCAAAACUAAAACACGAAAAAAGAAAAGAAAAAAAGGAGGCCUUAAAAAAACAAAUUGUGUCAGCACCUCCAUGCAUUGUAAUUUUGAUAAAUCUUCUUUUUGGUAAUGAAACUUUUUUAUUCAAAACUUUUUGAUUCAAAACUUUAUUUUACUUGUAUUUUAAUUCUUGAGGAUGAGAAAGAAAAGAGAAAUUCAUCAAAAAAUUACUAAGAAAAGAGAAAAUUAGCGAAAGCCAGCAAGGUAUCUGCUCGAAAAAACAAAUGGGCAAGCAAACAUACGCCCUUACUUCUGGAGGCUUGUGCGAUAAUGGGCAAGCAUCAUUGUUUUUUUGGGGGCUUGUACGAUAAUGACUAAACACACAACAUUACAUUACUUCUAGCUUCUUCAGCAAACACAGAUAGAUAAGUCGAAAUCUUCUGUAUUCCCAUUGCCAAUGAAACAGUUGGAAUUACUUCCCACCAAUCUAAAACAUAUUCGCAGCACCAACCUUGAAAUCAUGUAACAGCUAACCAACCUUGCCUGAUGCAAACAUGAAGAACAAAGACAAUCCAUGAUUUAAUUCAACCAUUAAAAUUUGAAGGUAAAGGAGAGGAUAAAUAAUCUUCAGCUAUAUCACCUGGUUUGGGCAAGAAAGAAUUAUUAGACUACCAAUCAUCACCAUUCUUUCCACCCCUUAUCUCGGGUCCACUCUCUAUAAAUGCUUGAAUCUUCAGCUACUUCAGAUACCUGUAAACCAAUUCAAGCAUGGCAUGCUCAUUUUUACUUGUAAAUCUUAUUAUUGAGCCAAACAAGAAACAAACACACUAAAAGAGAGGCAAGAAAUCAAGUCAAAUCAGCAGCACCUCUGAUUGAGCACUCAUUGAACCAUCUGGUGUACUAGCAAAUUUUGUGGUCAGCUUUGGACAUAGAUGGACCUUCAACUUCUCCAAACGAGGGAAUAAGAAAUAAUCACACCAUCCGAAACUAAAACAGACAAUACUUGAUAAUUGAUGUAUCGACAACUCCUUUAGAUUAGGAAGCACUAUCUCCUUCUCAACGUUGAUAGGUGAAGCUUGACCAUCCUGCCCAGGAGGCUCUGGAAUUAUUUCCUUUUCACCAUCCUCUUCUCUGAUAAUAUGCUUCAAUUGACCGCAUUUACCUAUGUAAAGUCUUUCUAGCUUUGGCAGACUUCGAGCGAGGGACGGUGUGAAUAUAAAUGUCAGUUUGUCCAGAGACCACAAAUCCAGAUAAGCAAGACUUUGGAGGCUGACAUGUCUGGUGGGCCCCUUCCACAUGCAUUUGAGCUCAGGUAAACCUGACAGCCGUAACCCUGUUAAAGAUGACAGAAGCGGCAGCUCCUUCUCCUCCCUACUUCCUUCAUCAGGCUCACCUAAUUCAAAUACCUCUUCCAAUGAUUUGCAGCCGUUAAUGUUCACACUGCUUAGAUUUUUCAAAGCUCGCAGCAAUUUUGCUGGAAACGGAGCGCGAACAUCCCCACAAUCGUCCACUCGUACACGUUCUAAUCUAUGUAAGGAGCCGUUUUGCUCCCCAUGGGCGGCCAUCUGAUCAGAGAACAAUAUUAUAUUUUCUCACUCUCAUAAAAACAAUUUAUAUGAUGUAUAAAUAGGAGAAAAAAACAGGAUUAAAUACUUUUUAGAGAUUACAUAUUAUUGUUUUAGUUUUGUUCUUAAUUAGAGAUAAGUUGAAUAAUAAUUAGAUUUUUGUGAAAAAAAGGUUAAUACAACUCCUAAUAAUUAGUUUCAUGUAAAAACAAAAACAAAAAUAAAAAUAGUAACUAAUAUUUUUAUUUUAGUUAUAAAGUUAAUAAAUUUUAAAAGAUAUUUUAAUUGACUUCAAAAUUUUCAACACAAAAUUUAUGCUCUUAUAUAUUAAUAAUUUAUUUGUGAAGUUAUUUGAUGUACUUUUGUAUAAAAAACAUUUUUUAUUACGUGCAAAGUUGUUUAAGUGGACAAACUUGUCUAAUUUUUAUCCAGAUAGAUUACCUCCAAAGUAGUCAAUUUGCUCAGCAGAAGACCCCUCAAGUCAGGCACGGAUUCCAAGCGUAAUUCUUUCAAAUUUGUGAACCCCUGCAUCAAAAGAAAUUUUGUGCACUUUUGAACUAUAUAAUUUUGGUAAAUAGAUGAACGAAUUGUCCAUAUAAAACUUCAGCAAAAAAACUUAUCAACAAAAGGAUAGAAGUAGACAUGGCAACAAGGCAUGGGAAUAUGAAAUCAGAAGUUGCAGAUGGAGGUUUAUCUUCCUCUUCAAAUACUUCUAUUAAUUGGGGGAAGAGCCUCAAUAUCACUUAAACUGGGAAAGCAUAAAGAUUGAAAAAUCAAGGUAGGAUUUCAUUACAAUAAUUAAUUUCUUACUUCUUAAGCCCUGCAUCAAGAGACAAGGAAUGAUAAAGUUAGACAACUCCUUUUAAAUUUAGUGAAUGGCUAAAGGAUUUAUCUCCACUUAUCAAUUACUUCAGUUUCAGAAAUUUGGAGGAGAAAUCAACCUGUAUUGAAGUUGACAAUUUAAAUUAAGAAGAAAAAAAAAUUAUAGGAGAAAUAUAAAGGACGUACUUGGAGCUGUGCAAACAAAUUUCCCAAUUCUUUGUGGCCAUUGAUUUUUAGAAAUCGCAAAGAAGGCAAUUGGGCAGCAAGAUUCGUUGGACCAAAAAAGCUGUAAUUUGAUAUGGAAGAAAGAACCAAGUCACUUAAUCGAGGGAACUUGAUGAUGCCAUCUGUGGUGAGUGCGUCUCCUUCUCCACUGUAAAAUAUUUGCUUUAAAUUGUCAGUACGAUCAAUCGUCAUCAAUUCCAGGUUCGGAAGGCUCGGAGACACAGAGACAGGGAAGACAUAUUCCAGUUUACCACAGUCUUUUAUGAAGAUAGUUUUUAAUCUUGGGAAGCAAGGAGACUCUGGAAUUAUUUCCCUUUCACCAUCCUCUUCUCUGAUAAUAUACUUCAAUUCACCGCAUUCACUUAUCUCAAGUGUUUCUAGCUUUGGCAGACUUCGAGCGAGAGACGGUGUGAGGAUAAAUGUCAGUUUGUCGAGAGAAUUCAAAUACAGAUAAGCAAGACUUUGGAGGCUGACAUGUCUGGUGGGCCCCUUCCAAAUGCAUUUGAGCUCAGGUAACCCUGACAGCAGUAACUCUGUUAAAGAUGACAGCAGCUCCUUCUCCUCACUGCUUCCUUCAUCAGACUCACCUAAUUCAAAUACCUCUUCCAAUGAUUUGCAGCCGUUAAUGUUCACACUGCUUAGAUUUUUCACAGCUCGCAGCAAUUUUGCUGGAAACGGAGUGCGAACAUCCCCACAAUCGUCCACUGCUACAGAUUUUAAUCUUUGUAAGAAGCCGUUUUGCUGCACAUGGACGGCCAUCUUAUCAGAGAACAAUAUUAUAUUUUUUCACUCUCAUGAAAACAAUUUAUAUGAUGUAUAAAUAGGAGAAAAAAAAAAGAAAAAACAGGAUUAAAUACUUCUUAGAGAUUACAUAUUAUUGUUUCAGUUUUUUUUUUCUUAAUUGGAGAUAAGUUGAAUAAUAAUUAGAUUUUUGCGAAAAAAGGGUUAAUACAACUCCUAAUAUAAUAUAAAUUACGUAAACCAUGAGGCAGUUAAAUCUAACAGAAAAUAUAUUUCAAAUGAGGCAGUUAAAUCUAACAGAUAAUAUGUUCUUCCAUAUGAUUAAUUUUUAAUAACGUAGACAACAAUGAGGCAGUUAAGUUUCUUAUAUUUAUAUAUGUUUAGAUAAAAAUAAAAAUAAAAAUGAGCAUUUAUCAAUUACUUUACUUUUAGAAAUUGGGAGGAAGAAAGAAUAAAUUAUCGCAAUUGACAAUUUAAAUUAAGUGGAGAAAUAUAAAUUACGUACUUGUAGCUGUGCCAACCAAUUACCCACUUCUUCGUGGCCUUCAAUGUUUAGUUUCUGCAAAGAAGGCAAUUGAAAAUCAAAAUUCCUUGGACCUAUAAAGCCGUAAUUUGAUCGGAGCCCAAGAGACAAUUGUCUUAGUUGAGGGAACUUGAUGAUGCCAUCUGUGGUGAGUGCAUCUCCUUCUCCACUGUAAAAUAUUUGCUUUAAAUUGUCAGCAUAAUAAAUCGACAUCUGUUCCAGGUUCGGAAGGCUUGGAGACAUGGAGACAUGGAGACAGGGAAGACAUAUUCCAGUUUACCACACCGUUGUAUGAAGAUAUUUUUUAAUUGUGGGAAGCAAGGAGACUCUGGAAUUAUUUCCCUUUCACCAUCCUCUUCUCUGAUAAUAUGCUUCAAUUCACCGCAUGCUGUUAUGUUAAGUGUUUGCAGUUGUGGUAGACUUUGAGCGAGGGACGGUGUGAAGAUAAAUGCCAGUUUGUCCAGAUACCCCAACUCCAGAAAAUUAAGACUUUGGAGGCUGACAUGUCUGGUGGGCCCCUUCCAUAUGCAUUUGAGCUCAGGUAACACUAACAGCCGUAACUUGGUUAAAGGUGACAGUAGCGGCAGCUCCUUCUCCUUACUGCUUCCUUCAUCAGCCUCACCCAAUUCAAAUACCUCUUCCAAUGAUUCACAGUUGUCAAUAAACACCUCCUUCAGAUUUUUUAAACCUUGCCGCAAUCUUGCUGGAAACAGAGUGAAAACAUCCCCACAAUCCCUCACUACUACAGAUUCUAAUUUAUGUAAAAACAAUUGCUCAAAUGUCUUCGCAUUUAAGGAUGUACCAGCCCAAUAAAAUCUUGUCGAGGUUGAUGAAUAAUACUCAUAGCCUAAAGCAUUCCCUAAUGUUAUAUCAUAUUUGCGCAAGCUAACUGGAAAAACAAAAUCUCUGGGAAUGCGUUCAACCUUCGGUAUCCUCAAUGAUAAUACGGCUAACUGAGACAACGAAUUUAGUUCUGUUAGGUUUGCAUUCAUUCCACCUGUGCUGUCACAUCCAACGACAUCCCAUCCCUGAAAGCUGUAUUGCCCAAUCAACAGCUCUUCUAAUUUCUUCAACCUUCCAAUCAAAUUCACAGGGAUCCUUCUUAGCCUUUGACAACCUGUCACAUCCAACAACCUUAACUCCUUGAGCUCUCCUAUUUCAUCAGGUAAUUCUUCAAUGGAUAAGCACGACAUAAGACCAAGAAUCUUAAGUCUCUGCAGCUUUCUCAACCAAAUGAGGUCCUUGCAUCCACACCUAAUCAACACCAACGAUUGAAGUUUCGUUGAGAGUUCAAGUGAUUGCAGCGACAAACGCCCUCCCUCCAGAGACAAAACUUCAAUUUCUUUCAUCCCUUCAAAAAACCUCUCUGGAACAUUCAUACCAUCUUCCAGUUCUAAUAAUAGAACUUUGAGCUGUGGACAUACCAAUCCUUCAGGAAGUUCUGCUAGUUUAUUGCCCAUUAACGAAAUUGUUGUACAACCUUCAAAGCUUUUGUUUCUCAUUGGCCACUUCUCCAACCCAAUGCCAGCCUUUACGAUGAAUCCAUAUUCUUCUGAUGAUGCUAUCUGAAUAGCAAAGUCACGAACCAAGUCAUGCAUUCUCACAUGUUCUUCAGUUUCAGUGCCCAACAGCAUGCAACAAUCUUUGAGGUUUUCGAUGGCCACAGAAACUCGUUUCCUUGCAUCUUCAAUGGGCUCCGCAUCUUGAUGUAACCCAUAGCCAACUGCAUAUCUCGUCAAGUCCUCGAUUGGAAUGUCAUAAUCUUCUGGAAAUAAACAGCAUAGCACGAAACAUGACUUGGUUUCCUCGUACUUCAAAUAAUCAUAGCUCAACUUAAGACAUGUGUAAGCAUUAUUUUGUUCAUCAAUUUGUUCCAUGCGCACAAAGUGAGAUUCUUUGAGCUGUUUAGACGCUACUUCCCACUGAACUCGUGAUUUACCUCUUAGAGCCCUUCCCACUGUCACAAGUGCUAUAGGCAAGCCUUGGCAUUCUCUCGCAACCUCCCUUGCCACUGUGUUCAAGGUAGAGUCCCCAUCACGUAAACCUGCAUUGAUUCUGAAUAAAUCCGAUGCUUCAUCUUCAGGUAAGACUCUUAAAAGCACUUUUUGCUGGCACUCCAUAGAAAAACAUAUGCCUUGAACACGUGUUGUUAGAAGAAUUUUACAACCCCUGUGAUCAUCACCAAAUGGGAUCCCUAUCUCUUCCAAGUCAAUAUGUUUCCAAACAUCAUCUAGGAUUAUAAGCAUCUUCUUUCCCUGCAGUCUCUGCCAUAAUUCACUUGCUCUACCUUCUUUACUCGUUUUUUCAAAUUUCAGAUGUAAACUAUCUGCCAUUCGAUCCUGGAUGCCUAUGAAAUUUGGAUUCUGGGACACCGUAGCCAUCAAAACGUCAGGAAAAAGCUGCGACUCUUUGGCUCUCCUGCCUACUUCUUUCACCAGGGUUGUUUUACCCACCCCUCCCAUGCCGUACAGUCCGAUCAUAUUGACGGUGUCAUCUUUGAGAGCUUUCAUGAUCUGUUCCAAAGCUUCUUUUGACGAUUCUGAGGGCGUGAAUUCCUUUGAUGUUAGAAAUUCUAUGGGCUGAGGAGGAGCUUUUUGGGCCACUAUUUUAAACUUUGUGCUAUUUUCUAGAAUUUUUCUGAAAGUCUCCGACUUCUUGGCCAGUGCCUUGCUUAACUUGAAUUGUCGCAUGCAGUUUGGGCACCAAGUAAAGCAUUUGCCGUUUUUUCCUAUUUCAUUUUCCAAGGGCUUCGCACCUUCAAUUUGGUUGUUUGCAUCUUCCAGCCACUUUUUGACAUCUUUGUAAGUUUUUUCAGCAUUCCUUUCAGCAGCUUCGACAUCGUCUUGCAGACGUUCUUUUGCCGAAACCAGGUUCUCCUUUUGUUCUUUGAAUUCUUGAGCAAAAUUGUUGAAACAGAACAUGUAACGGAACUGCCUUCCUACUGGUUCCACCAUGAGUUCUGCUAGCAUAGCUAUAAUGGAUCCACCAGCACUUUCGAGAGCCAUUUUCCACAGGUCUGAAAAUCAAAGAAAUAAGGAUACAGAACGUGAGAGUGAUCACUACAAGUAAAACAGUCGCAGAGAGAAUGGGAAUAGGAAUUUCAUUACCUUAAUUUGGGAAAAUAUGUGCGAAAAGCACUGGUACUGAGUGCUCAAUGAAAUAGCGGGAGGAAGAAAAGGAGAAGUCCUUUAGCUCUGUAUGGAAUCCAGCUUCAAAAGCAACAAUAAAAUAGUUUAGAUGGAUUCUAACUGACUCUUGUGAGUUAAAGCAGUAGUUCCCAUUAAAAAUGCAUUUUGAUGACAUAAUUAAGAUCAUAUAGAGACAGUGACAAACCAAAAAGAAAGAAACGAGUGAAAGGUCCAGGAUAAUCUAAGCUAUGAUCGGUCAAGGUUUUUUUUUGUUUUAUUCUUUUUUAAAAUAAAAAAAAAAAAACAGGAAAAGACUUGCAAAGAAAUAGAAUUACUGGAAUGAACACAAUAAAGGAUGAAACUCAAGCAAUUAAAAAUAAAUUAUCUAUGAUGAUCAUCUCUGUGUCACACUCAAUGAGGUAAUAUGAUUGGCCUAUUACAAUAUUAAAUAAAUAAAUAAAAAAGCUAAAAGAACUAGGUUUUUGGUGGCAUCUAGAUUGCGGUUACUUUCUUCAUCCUUCUUUUGUGGUUUUAUUUUAUUUCAGUCCUUCAAAUCUUUUUCUUUUUCUAUUUCAUCGAGUUGCUUUUGAGUUGAUGUGCUUGCCCUAGAAUAUGCAUUAUGCUAGGGAUUACAGUUACAUUACAUAAGAAAUUAUAAUUACAGAUUAUAAUUAACAAUUUCAGUUUUUUUUUAAAAAUAAAUUUAUGAGAAAGGACCCAACGUGAGUAAAUUAAAGGAGAAUUUUAAAUCUCAAGGAUUUACAUGAAAGUGUUUUUUUAGAUGUAAAACAUUUUCCAGAAAUUAUGAAAAAUUUAGAAAUAUGAUAUUAUUUAUUGAUUAUAACAAAUUUAGUCCUAAAAAAUUUAAUUGCUAUAUAUUUUGUUUAGAAUAUUUUUUUUUCAAUUUCACCCCUUAGAAUUUGAUUUUUAUACUAAAUUUGGUUCUCAUUUUAUGAUUGUUAUUUGCUUUUUUCUUUUUAUUUUUUUAAUUGAAAUUUUUUAUUUAUCAAAUUUGAUCCUCAUUAUUUUGAUUGUUACUUAUUCUAUUUGAAAUAAUUUAUGAAAUUAUAAUUAUUUUAAUUUCAUCAUCUUUUAAUUUUUUUUAUCUUUAGAUUUGAUUUUUAAAAGGCUUUUCAAAAAAAAAAAAACAGAGAGGAAAGGUACGGUUGAAAUAAGAUAGGGACGUGGAAAUAGAGGGAGAGGUUGUUGGAGGCAGAAAAGGAAAGACUACGAUAGUAUUUUUCUCUAUAUUUUGAGUUUUAGUUGUUAACAGCCAUGCUCGUUUGAUUUUAUUUUAUUUUAUUUUUAUUUAUUUUCUACAUGCUCUUGCAAAUAAGGCAGGAAAGGAGGACCUGAAAUCACGGCAGCAAAUAAGGAGGGUAAUAGCGUGUUUGUUUUUUAUUUUUUAAAUUAUUUUUUUAUAAAAUAAUGUUUUGUAUUCUAAAUUAAUUUUUUUUUAUUUUUAUAUUGAUAUUAAAAAUAAUUUUUUAAAAAUAAACAAAUAUUAUUUUAAUAUAUUUUUAAAAUAAAAAAAUAUUUUAAAAAACAACUAGUUAUUCAAACACUUAAAAUGAAAAUCUUAAAAUCACAGCAUGAUAAAAGGGGAAAGAAAGGAAUGGGAUAAAGAAGGAAGAAAGCCAGUCUUGUAGAAAAUAGAAGAUGAAAAUUAGUAUGAAAAGGAGGCUAUUUGUUUUUGUAGUGUUAGAGUGGUUUUUAUAAUUAUAUUUAAUUUAUAAAAAUAUUUAAUUAAUAUAUUUUUUAAUAUUUCUUGUUAUUUUAUAUAUAUAUAUAUAUAAUAUUUUAAUAUGUUUUUAAAUAAAAAAUUAUUCAAAAAAAUAUGUGUCACAAUACUAAAUUAUAGUAUAUAUUAAAAGAUAAAAGAGUUUUCUGUUCAUUAUUAUUUACCGAGACUUAUUUUAUUGUGGAUGUGGAUGUUAAUAGUGAAUUUUUUUAAAAAAAUUUCAAUUUUGUAUUUGGAUUUUUUUUUUUUUUUACAUAAUUGAAUCUCUUUAUGCCAAAAUUAAAACUCAAUUGUAUUUUUUUUUAAGGAUAAGAGUUGAAUUGAAAGAUAGAUAACUGAAAUGAAAAACUCGAUAAAAAUAUAUAGUGACACUGUAAUUGUUUGCAAAGUUCAUUUUAGUUCCUUAUCUUUUUGAGCUACUAAGUAACAUGUCCCUAUAAUUUCUCAACAUUACAUUUUAUACAGAAUCUCGGAUUAUGCUCUUGGAACUAAACUGAAAUUUUCACAAAUUGAAGGACCAAACUGAAAUUUUAUGAUCUUCAACCUCAAACCCAGAAUUUUCAAAGAUCACCUAUUGAUAUCAAGAUUUCUAACUCAAAUUCAUUAUUAAAACAAACCAUAACUCAAAAUCAUUAUUUUUACUUAAAAUCUUUCAAAAUCAACUAUAUAACUCAUUAUCAAUAACAAUCAACACAUAAUAUUCAAAUUAAUUCAUCAAUCAAACCCAAAACACAAUCUUCAAAACUCUAAUAUUCAACAAAAUAGAAAAUUAAAGCUAAGGAAAACACAUUUAUACACUUCAAAGCGUAACUCUUACAUUUUAACUUAUUUUCUCCAACUCUCUUCUCCUUUCUUUAUCUUUUCCUCUUUUUCUCUUUUUCUUUUUUCACUCUCACGGUUUUCUCUCUAAGAAUUGAGAGCUUUUUAUUUUUUUUUAUUUAUAUUUAUCAAUUAUUUGUUCAAUUACUACCGUUCAUUUAUUUAUACCUCCUUGCCUCCAAGAAUUUUGUAGCCUUUUUCUAUUCUCUUUUAUUUUCAAAAGAUCACAAUAAAAUUGUAUUCUUUUUAUUAAGCUGUUAAUUUAUGCAGCUUUAGCUCUUGUUCUCUUUUCAUGUUUGGCAACUCUGAUCUGAUCCAUUUCUUUGCAUGAUAUAUAAGAGCAGGUUCUUACCUCUUGAAGUCUGCUGGAUAAACCUAUCAGCAGAAGAUCAUGAACCGAUCCCAAAUCACAGCUUCAAUCCCCACCACAACCAAUCUCCUCUUUCCCGUAGUCUUCCGUCCUCAAUUGGGAAAUGAUCCAAAAUCAACAACCGGUGCGGAGAUAGUUUGAGUGAAAAGAAACGGCUGAAAGAUGAAAUGUGAAGGUUAUGGUGAGAAAUUGGAUGACAAACUUACUUUGUCCUACUAAUGCUUUUGCUUUCAUUGUUUCAAAAAGUAAAAGAGACAUAAGCAUAAUCAUAAGAAUCCUGUUUUUUCUAUUUUUUUCUCCUAUUUAUACAUCAAAAAAUGGCAGUUUUUCUUUUCCUUUCUUUUUAAAAUCUUAUGCCUUUGGGUGAGGAAAGUAGUGGAGCAUUAGACUUUUUAAAAGACAACAAAAAGAAGCAAUGUCUCAUCUUUUGAUAUGGUGGUACAAGAUACACCAUGGUAUGGUGGUCCUGCAAUAUUAGUUUGUUGAUGAAGAUAUCGAAAGAUUCCAGUCUCCGUUCUAGCUAAUGUUGGAUGCAAGGCUGAAGUUAAGAUUAUUUUAGAAUAUUUUUUUAAUCGGUGGUUUGUGUGGAGUAAUUUACGAUAAUUUAAUCUUUAAAAAAAAUUAGAUUUUUAAUUAAUAAAUUUUUAAGUAACUAUAAAUUUAUUUAAUGAGAUCUUCAGUAAUAAUUCUAGUUGGUUAGGCAAUAUAAACAGUUUUCACAAAGAUUCUACUACUGAUGUGUCCAUAUUACACAGGAACAGAAUGCUAGAGAAUAACUUUCUUUUUACAAAAAAAAAAAAAAAAGGUCGAGAAUUUUCCUUAAAGCAGACACCCAUGAAGAAGAGAUAGUUGCCUUAGCCAAGCUUCUCACUUUACAAAAUUGUAUCGUAGUAGUUUGCACCCACUAGGAAGUCCAGAAUAGGAAAAGAAAAACGGACGCUUAGCGGACCCACAAAAGUUUAAAACACUUGCAUUUCUUUUUUAUUUUCAAAUUAACAUGGUAAAUUUUGUAUGUUUAAAAAUAUCGUAAUGAAAAACACAGCAUUCGAAAAAAAACACAAUUGAAAUAAAUCUAGAUUAUCCUUCUAUUGUGUAUCAAAUUUAUGAUUUUUAAUGGUCAGGGAUUUUAAAUCCAGUUUGGUGUACGACCCGAUCCAAUAAAUUCGAGUCACGAGUUUUGAUCGGGUCACCCGAGUCAACUUUUUUUUUUAUAUAUAUAAAUCAAAAUAAUAUCGUUUUUUAUUAAAAAAAAUAGUCAACAUGUUACAAUUAGAUUUUUUACCGAUUCUUUCCAGGUCAACCGGAUUACCAAGUCACUUGACUUUUUAUUUUUUUUUAUUUUUUUUAAACCCGACUUGAUUCCAAUCCUGAAUCUAACCUGUAAGGUCAGACCAGGUUUUAAAAAUAUGCUAUUUGACUGAAAAGGAUGUUACACCCCCAUGUUUUUUUGGUGAAGAAUUGCAUGACGUAGUGUCAGAGUAUUGUGAUAUUGUGUUAUAAACAGAAGUUUUCUGGUUUUGGUUUAACCCACAAUUAGAUAAAACAAAGUAUUUUCUGGGAGCUUCCUUAUUGGAAGAUCAAUCUGCUCCACCAUAACCUUGAUGUCAUGCACAUAGAAAAAAAAAACAUGUUUGAAAACAUUUUUAACGGUCAUGAACGUGAAGGGAAAGACAAAGAACAAUAUCAUGGCUAGAAUGGAUAUAAUAUUUUUUUGUAACCGUAAAAAUAUGGAGUUGGUUUUUGAUGGGUCACGGGUCACAAAGUCCAGAGCAAGCUUCGUCUUAGAGAAGAAUACACAACUACUAGUCUACCUAUAGCUUAAAAGCCUGUGUUUUCCCGAUGGACAUGCCUCGAACAUAUUAAGGUUGGUUAAUCUAGAGAAAUUCAGAUUGUAUGGAAUGAAGAGCCAUGAUUGCCACGUGUUUUUGCAAACACUCAUUCCAUUAGCUUAUCUUGAUUUAUUGCCAAAGGACAUAUGUGAUACACUCAUGGAGAUCAGUCAUUUCUUUAGAGAUAUGUGCUCCAGCAAGUUGUAGACACAUCACAUUGAGAAGCUUGAAACAAAUAUCAUUGAGACAAUAUGCAAACUUGAGAUAAUAUUUCCUCUAUUGUUUUUUUGACUUGAUUGAGCAUCUACCAAUACAUUUACCGUAUAAGGCAAAAGUUGGAGGCCCAGUCCAAAAUAGAUGGAUGUAUCCAUUCGAGAGGUUAGAUAUUAGAGAUGCAAUGCAAGUAUUAAUGUAUUUUCAUUGUUUUUCUUAAUUGAAAAUGUUUGUUUAAUUUGAUGUAGGUACUUGUUCAAUUAAAAAAAAAAAGAAGUUAAGAAUAAGGUGCAUGUUGAGGCUUCGAUAUGUGUGGCCUAUAUUGUUGAGGAGAUCUCAACAUUUAUAUUAUACUAUUUCGAGCCUCAUCCGGGAACGAAAAUCAACCGCGUUCCACAGCAUGAUGAUGGUGGUCAAGUGCCUUCAAGUUCGAACUUGUCAAUAUUCUCCAAUCCUGGAUGACCCACAUCUAAAAAUGUUGUAAGGGGAACAUAUUUGUCUAAAAUAGAAUUCAAACAAGCACAUAAUUAUGUGUUAUUUAACUGCAAUGAACUGAGACUUUUUAUUUAUUUAGUAUAUAUACUACUUAAACUUUGUUGUAAAUGGACUAUUUAUCUAUUGUAAUAUCACAAAUUUGUACAUUUUUGAAAACCUCGUAGGCAAUGUUGACAAUAUUUACUAACUCACAACUGACGGAAUCCCUUCAAUUACAAGAUGAACAAUUUUCCAGGUGGUUCAGAACAUAUGUAAGUACUAUGACAAACUCAUCAUGUAUCAUUGUACUUAAUUUCAUUACAGAAUUCUCAUUUACUGUUCAUUGUUGUAGUUUGUUGCUACCCAAUUUUGACCCAUGUUUUUGAUAAAUUUUCAAAAAAAAGCAAAAAAACAAUGAAAACCCCAAAAAAUGCAUUUUUGAUAUGUUUGCAUCGUUUUUAGCAUUUUCAAUGUCAUCUCAGAAGAAUUUAAAUUUUCAAAGGUAUUUUGAACACGUUCAACUUUUAAUGUGUUAAUUUUACAAUCACUGAUUUUUCUUGUUGGGUCAACAUUGAUAUUGCUUGCUUUCAAAAAUACAAAAAAAAAUAAUUCAAAAUUGACAAAAAAUAAAGAAGUUGAGGGACCAAUGUGUUUUGGGGACCAAGCCACUUUGCCUAUAAAUAGAGGUCACAACACACGCAAAAGGAGGAGAAAAAUUUUACAGGGGAACAAUUUUAAGACAGAGAAAUUUAGGGCAACAAAAAAUAAACCUAAACCUAAAUUAUUUCUCCCAAGCCAGCCGACUGCCUCCCUCCCUUUGCAAAAAAGGUCGGCCGCCGCUUCCCCCAGUUUUGGUUCCCUUUGGCUCCUUCUUAAACCUUCAGCCCCUCCAUCACUAGGGUUCCCAUUUCCACGAUCUCCCCUAAGCUGGCCCCUGACCCAUUUCCGGGCAUUGCCAGCAGUGGCGCUGCAUGGAGCAAAUGCGCCGUCAUUAUUCUGGCAGAUUCCAGAAGGCUUUCCACUGAUCUUGUAGUUUCUGGGGGCUUAUUUUGUAAUUUUUGAAUUGUAUUUGAUACAUUUAAAAUUUUUGUUAUUUUGAAACAUGUCAAAAUGAUGUGUGAGUUGAGCAUAAUAAAAAAAAGUGAUGUUAGUGUGUGUGUUUGUGUUUUUUUUAUGUAUGUUUUCUUUUAAUGUUAAAAUUAAAAAAAAAGGUGAAAAUGUGAUGUUAGUGUGUGUGUGUGUGUUUGUAUUUUCUUUUAUGUAUGUUUUCUUUUAAUGUUAAAAUAAAAAAGACAAAAAUAUUAAAAAGAAGAAAAAAGAAUUAAGUGUUUAAUUUGUAUAUGGUCAAGUAUUUUAAGGACAAAUAAAAUCAUGUUGUACUUAUUUUGAUUAUUUUAAGGACAAGUAUUUUUUAAUUUUUUUAUAUGCUAGAUUUGAUUUUUAUUAUUUUUAUUUUUAUUUAUUUUAUUUAAAAUAAUUUAUAAAAUUAAAUUUCUUUUUUAAUUUCAUUAUCUUUAUUUUUUAUUUUUAUAAUAAACUUGAACAGAAAAACUCAAAUAUUAAUAAGUUAUUUUUCAAUUUAUUUUUUAUGACAUGAACAAACAUUUGAAAUUAUUUUUUAACAUAUUUUUUAAUUUAUUUUUCUUAACACUAUUAAAUAUAAAUAAAUAACUUACUUUGUAAGAAUUUAUUUUCUAUAAAAACUACCUUUUAAAAGAAACUACUUUAAAUAAACGGGGCUCAAAUCUCACUCUCAUGGCUUUAUUUUUCAAGUUUUAAGAGAUAGAUAGACCUUCAUAACCGCAUGUGGUUAUUUAUCAUGAUAUUACCUUCUUCUGGAGUUAGGACAUGAUGAAAAUAGGCAAACAGAACCUAAUAAUUUAGUCAUUCUCAAUGUUUUGGAAGAUUUUUGCGAAAGAAAAAUUAUUACAAAUUUCCCUAGUCAUGAUCAUAUCCAUGACAUCUGACAAAAUUAUUAUAAACAGAAUUUUUUUUUGCAAACAUUUAGAAAAAAGAGUUUAUUAUUUGGUGAAAAACAACUAGUCAUCACCCAAAGAAACCGAGUGAAUGAGAAAAAAAGACAAAUAGCUAGAAAACAAUCAACAGAUCCAAGAACUUUCUGUAUGGUUUCCAAGAAAAUAAAAAGAAACGAGCAGCACAUGUUUUGAGUCUAGUGUAUUAACCUAGAAGGAUUAAAAUCAAUAAUUUCUUCUAAAUGAUCAAAACAUGUUGUUUUGAAAAGACCAAAAAUAUCAAUUAGAAAUCUUAUCAAGUUUUGACUAGAUUACAAAUCAAUUCAUCAUCAAAUCAAUCGGGUCAACCUAUAUUAAUGUUGGGUUAACUUUUUUUUUAUACCCAACCCGAGCAAGCUGACGGAUUGUUCAAGUCAAGUUUAAUAACAAUGUUUUCAUCUAUUUAACUAACCCUUUUAAUCUAUAUAUUUGCGUUGAUGUAUUUUUUUUCAUUCCACAGUAAAAGAAAAUCUCUUGAUUUCUCAUGAACAAUCUUAAAACUGUUCUUCAAGAUUCUGAAGGAAAAGACAUUAAAGAAGCUUCUUAUGACAUGCAGUUUCAACGAAAACUCCUUCACGCUAUUUUCCAAGAUACUUCUACCCACUAGAAACCUGGAAAAACUUAAAUAAUAUCAGCAAAAGUUUUGUUGUCAAUGAACAUGGCAGUAACAGGUUGGGAAUGUGUCAGCAUGCGAAGUGCCAAAGGGUAAAAGUAUUAUUAAAGAGGCGUGACACAAACGAAGCUACCCCUUACCUACUCCUGGGAAGGAAUAUAUGUCAGACUAUACAGCUUUUUCAAUUCAUUAAUGUCGUUCUCUGUUUGUCUUCUAAAACCUACUCCCAUCAUAUACAUGUAUUAUAUUCUUAAAAUUGCUCUAUGGGAUUGCAGGUCAUGCUCGUUUGAUUGCUUUUUUUUAUAUUCUUUUCAUGCCUUGCAAAUAAGGCAGGGAAGGAGGACCUGAAAUCACGGCAGCGAAUAAGGAGAGAAAUAGCCCGUUUGUCUUUGCUUCUUUCUUUUAGUAUUUUUGAAAAAUAUUAAUUUUUUUACUUUAAAUUAUUUUUUUAUAUUUUCAUAUUAUAUUGAUAUAUUUCUAAAUAAAAAAAUAUUUUAAAAAACAACCGCUAACACACUCUUUUUAAAGCUAUUAAGUAACCAGUCCCUAUAAUUUUUCAACAUUGCAUUUUGGUACCAUCCAUUUUUUUCUUGUGUUCAUACUUAAAACCUUCUUAAAGGAUUCUUAUUAAUAGCUUUAAAACCUCUCUCUCAAGAUUAAAAGGUUAGAAAUAACUUUAUGCUCUCUAAAUCUAACAAAACCACCAAGUACCCUUAAAAUCAAAACCAUCAGUUUAGUACAAGAACUUUUAGCUGUUAGCUUUUAUCCAGAACCUUUUACUUUGAUCAAAUGGUUAAACUUUCAUUAAUUUUUGAGGGAAUCCACAAAAAAACCUAGAAAAACCUAUAAAUACUCUUGAAAAUUAGAGCUGGAGAGGAGGAGAAAAUGAGAGAAAAAGAGAGGAAAAACGUGAGUAAAUAAUUUGUUAAUAGACUCUAUUACGAAGAUUCAAGAGCCUAAUAUAAAAGGUCUAACCAGCUUAAAAAAAAAAAAAAAAAAAGGAAAAGAAGGAAGGAAAAGAGAAGAAGAAAAUAACAACGUAAUUUUGAACUAAAAAGGCCUAAUUUCAGUGAAAGUUAAGAGCAUUAGAGACUAGACCGUGCUUAUACCGAAAGCGACUCUCAUCGUUGAAGGAAUGCAAACGGUUGUUAACGAGACACUUAUGUCGUUCCAACAUUCAAAGGUUGUUGAAUCUAGUACUGGUGCUCAUUCUGGAUCUAGUACCAAAAGGAGAAUAUAGAAAGAGAUAGUAGUGAAUUAAUUAUCUUUCAUUCAGUAGUAGGAUAAAAUUUAAUUAUCCUAAUACAAGACUUAAUACAAUUUCAUAGUUGUGGAACACUAACUAGAUAUAAAGAAAAAGUACAAAUUACAACAAAAAAUACAGGUUUUGAAGGUUGAUGACUCUCUCGACCAACUACGGUUUCAAAUACGAUGUGCACUAAGACUAACACUACUCUGUUAGCAUGAGCAUUCUAGCUGGCAUACCAUAAGUUCAUAUCAUAAUCAAACAAACAAAUUCAUAUCUCAAGGCCCAACUCAUGACAUUAAUAAAAUAAGAAGCUAUCAAUUCAGAAGUCAAUUUAGAAGUAUAUAUUGGCUUAUAUCAAUAAUUCAGAUUCAAUAAUUGAUUAUGUUUUAUCAUAACAAAGAUAAUAAUCAACAUAUAUAUUAUCAAGAAGCACAAUCCAAUUCAUAUUAACAACUCAAAUAUUUAUAUUAUUUCUCAUGCAUAUGAAAUUGACUUAAAAGUGAACAGAACUCAAAAGCAAAUACCGAAGAAAAUCUUACUGAUAUUCCGCAUGUAGAAUAUCAAGAUUAUCUAAAUACAAAGGAGACAUAUUAUAAAAUGACUCGAAAAGAACAUACAACCUAUUUAAUACACUUAAUUAAGGGUCUAUUUCAUAACCCUAUAUAUUUUUUUUUAACUAAACUAGUUAUUUUUCCCAAAAACCAAAAAAGUAAACGGUUUUCCGGAAAUCUAAUUCAUAAUAAAAAAAAUAAUGAGACUUGAUAAUAAUUCACUAAAUAACCAUCAAUUAUUUAUCAAAACAAUAUGAAAAAGCUAAUAUUAAAGCUAAGGACCAAUCUGGAAUUUUAUCAUAUUUUUAGGGGUCAAAUUAUAAUUUUAUCAAAUUGGAAGACCAAACUAAAAAUAUCAUAAAUUCAUGACUAUACUGGAAUUCUGCCCAUAAUUCAUCCUCAAUUCUGCCCAGAAUCUCAAAUUAUGCUCCAGGGACCACUAUAGAAUUUUAUCAAAUUUUUAGGGUCAAGUUGUAAUUUCAUCAAAUUGGAGGACCAAAGUGAAAAUGUCAUAAAUUCAUAACUAUACUGGAAUUCUACCCAUAAUUUAUCUUUGAUUCUGUCCAGAAUCUCGGAUUAUACUCCAGGGACCAAUCUCUAUUUUUUCCAAAGUUCAGAGACUAAAUUGUAAUUUUCACAAAUUGAGGGACCAAGCUGAAAUUUCAUAAUCUUCAACCUCAAACCAGAAUUUACAUAGAUAACCUACUGAUAUAUCAAGAUUUCUAACUCAAAUUCACCAUUUAAAUAAACCAUAACUCAAAAUCAUCAUUUUUACCUAAAAUCUUUCAAAAUCAACUAAAUAACUCAUUACCCAUAACACUCAACCCAUAAUUUUUUUGUAAUGUAAUUGUAAUUCCUAGCAUAAUGCAUAUUCGAGGGCAAGCACAACUACUCAAGAGCAAAGAAACUUGAUGAAAUAGCAAAAGAAAAAGACUUGAAGGACUGAAAUAAAAUAAAACCAAAAAAGAGGGAUGAAAAAAGUAACCGCAUUCUGGUUGCCAUAAAAAACAUAGUUCUUUUAGUAUUUUUUUUUAAAAUAUUGUAAUAGGUCAAUCAUAUUACCCGAGUGUGUGACACAGAGAUGAUCAACAUAGAAAAUUACUUUUAAUUGCUUCAACUUUCCUCGUCUAAAUAAAAGAUUAAGAGUUUUCAUGAUUGGGAGGAUGUUAUAUAUUUUGGGUUUUGAUGGUGAUUGUGAAGGAUUUGUGAGAUGAAUUAUAGUUUGGAAGUAAAAAUUAGUGACUUAUGAAGCAUAUAGAGAAGAUGAGAAGUAUUAGGGUUUUUUUGAGUGAGAUCGAGAUGUUAUUUGAAUCGGGAUGAAGAAAGAUAUUUGAGAGGAAAUGUGAUUUUAAGAAGUAUAAUUACAAGAAUUGUAAUUUAAUGUAUUCAAUUGUAGUUUUCAACACACCUCUACUAAUCUUUGCCAUUUGUAUGAAGAUAUCGAAAGAUUCGAGUCUCCGUUCUAGCUCAGGUUGGAAGCUAGGCCGAAGGCUAAGCUUCUUUUAAUUAUGAAUUGUUUAUGCAAAGGAAACCCAGAAGCUUGAACAAACAGAAAUGCCUUGUUGAUUUCUCUGCUACUACUCAUUAUUUCCAAUAUUAUUCCAUUAUCUUACCCGAAAGCAAUUAUACAAGAAAUUUCAUUAUCCCGCCCCAAAAGGCAAUUUAUUACAAGGACUUCCUUUAACCUCCUUUAAGGCAAUUUAUUUGAUGAAAAUAACCUCCUUUAAGGCAAUUUAUUUGAUGAAAAUUCCUUUAAUCCACCUCAAAGACAAUUUAUCUUAGGGAAUUCCAACGACCCAGGCAAUUUAUUUCUUGGAAAUUCCUUUAACCCGCCCUAAUUAAGGCAUUUUAUCUAAGGGAAUUCCAAAAUCAAUUUAUUUAUUGGACUCAGGAUUCUUUGAUACUAUUUAUUUAUAUAUAAUUUAACAACACUUUUAUCUUACAUUUAAAAAGAAAUUCAAAAGUAAGGAUAACCCUUACCUAGAGCUCCUGUGGUUCUUGCUCCCGAGAGAAUUGGCUCCAUUCCUGACAAAUCUAUUACCAAAAACCCAAGUUUCAACCAAUCAAUAACAUCAACACCCAUUUUAAUUCAAUGCAAUAAGUUUUUCUUAACCAAUUUACUUGAUGCAAGUUCUUAUAAUCAAAGUGACAGUAUUCAGGGUGAAGACAAGCAGAAGGGCGUGUAUUAAUUUUAUUUUUUAAUGUUGAGUUUUUUUAUUGAAUUUUAUUUGUCAAUAUUAAAUUAAUUAUAAAUUAAAUUUUAUAUAUUUUUUUAUCAUAUAUAAAAAAACAAAGUAAUCUCAUCUUUUGAUACGAGUGGUCCAAGAUUCACCAUGACAUGGUUGUAGUUUUUUUUUUUGCCUUUUUCUUUUAAAAAUGUUAUGUCAUUUAAUUUAUAAUUAUAAAUUAAAUUCUUUUUAUUGGUCAUUUUAAAUUUUUUUACUUUUUUUAUAUAUAAUUUUUUAAUUUUAUAUUUUAUUAAUGUUGAGUUUUUUUAUUAAAUUUUAUUUGGCUAUAAACCAGAACUUUUUAUUUUUUAUUUUUUGGACAAGCAGAGACAAAUUAAAUAAACAAAGUAAUCUCAUCUUUUGAUAUAGUUGUAGUUUUUUAUUAUUUGUUUUUUGCCUUUUUCUUUUAAAAAUGUUAUCUUUGGUAAGGAAUCCUUGGUUCCCAACGGCAACUGUAGCAGAGUUGACGGUUGCGUAAAAACAAAUCUCUAAACUCCACCGAAAGUAGUGGAGCAUUAGAGUUUUAAAAGACAAAACGGGAACAAGUGGGAGACGGAGAAAAAGACAAUAGUAGGUGGUCUAAGAUACACCGUAUAUAUGAUAAUAAUAAAACAAGUGUUUAGUUCCCGUUUGUUUGCUGGAAAAUAGUUUUUUUUUAAAAGUAAAUUCCGGGGAAAGUGAAUUCCGGGAAAGUAUUUUCCGAUGUUUGGUAGUGUAAUGGAAAAUAAGUUGGAAAACAUUUUCCAGUGUUUGGUUAUGUCAUGGAAAAUGAGCUGGAAAAUAACUUAUUAAUGUUUUAUUUUUCUCAAGUUUAUUAAAAUAAUGAGGAACAAAUUUUACAAAUUAAAAAGGUGAAUGAGAAUGAAAUUGAAAAAAAAAAAAUUUCAUAAAUUAUCUCAAAUAAAAUAAAUAAUAAUCAAAAUAAUAGAGAUCAAAUCUAAAACAUUAAAAAAAAUAAAGGUGAAGAAAUUAAAAUAAUAAUAAUUAACAUUUCAUAAAUUAUUUCAAAUAAAAUAAGUAACAAUUAAAAGAACGAGGACCAAAUUUGAUAGAUAAAAAAUUUCAAUAAAAAAAUGAUAAGGAAAAAACAAAUAUCAAUUAUAAAAAUAAGGACCAAAAUUAAUAUAAAAAUUAAAUUUUAAGAGAUGGAAUUGAAAAAUAAAUAUUCAAAACAAAUUAUAUAUAACAAUCAAAAGUUUGAGGAUCAAAUUUGAUAUAAUCAGCAAAUAAUGACAUUUCUAAUUUUUUCAUAACUUCCGGAAAGUGUUUUCCGCCCAAAUUUUCCAGGAAAACACUUUCCUGAAAACCAAGCUAAAUUUUCCUUUGACUGGAAAGUGUUUUCCGUUGACCAAUUUUCCUAAUGGCAAACAAACACAUGAAAGUUUGGAAAGUGGUUUCCCGGAAACCACUUUCCGGAAAACAAACACAGCUAAAAGGGAAAACACUUUCCUGGAAACCAAACCAAAUUUUUCUUUGACUGGAAAGUGUUUUCCGUUGACUGGAAAGUGUUUUUCGUUGACCGGAAAGUGUUUUCCUUUGACCAACUUUUCUAAUGGCAAACAAACACAGGAAAGUUUGGAAAGUGGUUUUCCGGAAAGUGAAUUUCGGGAAACAAAUAUGGCCUAAAACAACUCUGAAAACAAAAUUUUUUAUAAUUCAUAAUUUAUAAACACAUGCGAUAAAAUAAAUCAUACUGCAUGUUUUCAUUUGGCAUUUAAUUCCAUGAACAUGAUUUUUUUAGAUUAAUAUGGAUAUCCGGGUCAGCUUGUGUAUCUCGACUAAUCUCAUGAAUCCUAAAAUUAACGAUUAUAUGAGCAUUUAGCGGGCCUGGAGUUUGUGAGAUUCAAACUAAUAAUUUUUAGAGAACAAAUUCAGAAUCUGACCAGUUGAGCUACACUUAUCGGAAUUUCAUUAACAUGAUCUUACUUUUCAAUCAAAUUGCUGCGACCAUAUUAGACUUGUAAUCAGACCAUUAAUUGACUGUUCUUGACUAGCUAUUGUUUCUCAUUGGCAAGAGUCAUUGCCAAUUAUCAUAACAUGUUAGUGAUCUAUUACAACUAGUCUAGCAUCGACAGAGUUGUUAUUUAACCAUUAAAUCAAUUUAUAAAACAUUAUUGACUAGCUAUCUAACACUAGCAACUAAUCACUGAUAAUAUUUAUGCAAAACUUGUAGCUUAAUACGAACUCUCAGAAAUGUGGGUGGGGCAACUCAAAGUACAGGGAGAGUGGUAACCUCUGAUAUAUAACAGAGAAAAUUAACAACAGAAAUCUAGAUACUUCAAUAAAUUAACACACUGACUAAUAAAUCCCCCCCACCAUCAUCCAGUUAUCACAGGUGCAUCUACAAUGAACAGUUCUCGAGAAGAAACUCAAGAAACGCAUAUAAAGCUACAUGAUGACAUAAUAGGAACCUGCAUUGCCUCCAUUCCAUGAUGAAAGUUCAAGAAAUUCUACUUCGAAACUCAAGACAAAGUCUCUCAGACUACAUAUUAGUGGGAUUUCUAUAAACAACUGAUUCUAUUGCAAAGCAACAUUAUGAAAAACUGAAUAUUUCACACAUAGUCUAAUAAAAGUAGGUUCCAUUGUCAAUUCCUUAACAUUUUCCGAACAAAUCACAGUUGCUCCUCGUUUGAUACUUUCUUGAAGGUUUCUUUUCUCUUAUUACCAAUUUCUGUGAGUUUGUGAUUUUUUAUCUGUACCGUAUCAUCCGAUCAAUUACUAGCUAGAACCACACAACUAAUAUGUAAAUUCACAAAUUCCCUACAGUUCAUAUUGCCAACAAACUCCUCUUGCCAUUCCCUAAUUGCACUGAGCCAGCUAAUCUGGAUGAAAGUUAUCGAAGAGGGGAAAAGACAGAUGAAGAUCUGCGCAGGGCUACCUGUUUUGAGAAUUAUGGAUUUUUAUCACUAAAUCAGAACGGCGCCAAUUAUAAGUUCAAUAAGAAAAAAUCUGUAACAGAACAGAUGGAAAAAACUCGAAACAACUUGGCUAGAAUUUAGAAAAGAAAUUCAGAAUGAGCCAAGAUUUUAAGUGAGAUGAAACUUUGUUCUUUGAAAAAAAUAAUUAAUAUGAGAUAUACUUUUCAUUUUAGUGAACCUUAAAGCAGAGCCAACAGUUAAGUAAAAGUUAUCAAUAGCUGUGUAAACCAUUGAAACUGUUACCGUUGGUGCACCCUCGAUUACACCAUGGAUUCACAUAGUGCAAUUGUUAUUUUUUAAAAAAAUUCAAUGUUAUUUUUUUAUUAAUUUGAACCUUUUUUUGUCAACAUGUUUCGCAAUUGGCCUUGGUAUUUUGUUUUCAUUUUCUCUAUGUUGCCUUCUUCUGUAGAUAAAAAACAUCAUGUCUUGGGGCUCGUGCUUGAUAGUGCAAAAUUAAUGACACAAUAAUCAAAGAACACAAAAAUUUUUAUAGGCAAAAGGAAUUGAAGAUGUAAACCCUAGAAUUCGUAAGUUUAUUUUCUCUAAAAUAAUAAUAAUAAAAAUAAUAAUAAAGUCUAUCUUUUUAGGAGGUUUACAAAGCCUUAAUUAAAUAGGUUAAGAACCUUACCCCAACUAGGAAGCAAAAAUAAAAAUCCAAAAUUAUAAAGGAAAGAAGCAUAAAAUCCGAAAUAAAUAAGAAAUCUAAAAAUAAUAAGGAAAAUCACAAAAAUUACCAAAACUAGAGGCCUCAAUGAGAUUUUUGAUAUCUAAAGAUCCGAUGGUCUGCAUAAAAAUUUGAGCACAAUCCAACAAUUAAAUAAAAAAUUAUGACUCUUUUGAGUUGUUAUUCUAGUCUAGCGUGACCAAACCUUCUCUUAGGCUUAAACAUGUUUCAUUGGUCCAUAAAUACAUUUGCUAGGCUAUCAACAUAAUUUAUCUAGGACAAAUCUUAAUCUAGUUAUGACAAACUCACACCUAACUGCUUAGAAUCACUAAUUAUUAUAGGAUUGACUACAUCAAAAUUGGUCGGUUUUUUUGUUUUCAAAGAGAUUUAAACUUGAUGUAGAUGAAAGUUAUAAACACAAUAAUCAAAGAACACCAAAAAAUGUAUGAGCGAAAGAGACUGUAGAUGUGAACCCUCAAAUUCCCAAGUUUAUUUUCUCUAAAAUAAUAAUAAUAAAGUUUGUCUUCUUAGGAGGUUUACAAAACCUUAAAUAUGUUAGGAACCUUACCUCAACUAGGAAACAAAAACAGAAACCCAAAAUUACAAAGGAAAGAAACAUAAAAUCAAAAACAAGCAAGAAAUUAAAAAAAUAACAAGGAAAAUCACAAAAACUACCAAAACUAGAGGCCUAAACAAGAUUUUUUAUAUCUAAAGAUUCGAUGGUUCACGUGAAAAUUUGAGCAUGAUCAAAUAAUCGGAUAAAAAAUUAUAAUUUUUUUAGCUUUUAUUCUAGUUUGACGCGACCAAACUUCUUCUUGAUCCUAAACUUGUUUCAUUGGUCCAUAAAUACAUCUCCAUGACUUUUUUUUUUUGUUUCACUAUAAAUGAAGUUUGACCAUCAUCAUAUAUGGUUUGACUUAGCCGUAUUGGUUUUCAAUUAUAUCAACUUUAUAUAUUAUGGGUUUACAUUUACUAUUUUUUUUAAAAUGCUCACAAGUCCAUUUUUCACACCUCAAACUCAUAACUGCAGCGAUUCGUAGGCAACGAAACUAAUUAGAGACUAGAGAGUAAACAUGCUACUAAAGUUUGCAGGUGAGGGUAUAGAUUAGAUUAUUUGUUGUGUUGUUUCAAAUAUUAGAGCAGUCUCAACUCAUUAAAUAAACAAGUGGUGCAUUGAUCCUUGGACUCAAAUCAUAUAUACACGGUGAGCUCAUUUGUGUUUUUAUUAUUUGUUCCUCCCUGUACUUGUAGCAGGAGAGAAGCUGCUCUCAACUUUGAAGGAAUGCAAACAAUUGUUAAUAUGAAACAUAUUAUGUACAAAUUAUAAUAUUUGUAAGAAGCCGUUUUGCUGCCCACCGGCGGCCAUCUGAUCAGAGAACAAUAUUAUAUUUUUUAAACCCCUUCACUCUCGUAAAAACAAUUUAUAUGAUUAUAAAUAGGAAAGCAUAGAAAAAAAUAGGAUUAAAUAUUUUUAGAGAUUACAUAUUAUUGUUUUAGUUUUUUUUCUUGAUUAGAGAUAAGUUGAAUAAAAGUAGUAAUAAUUUAUUUUUGUGAAAAAAGGUUACUACAACUCCUGAUAAUUAGUUUCAUGUAAAAAAUAAAAAUAAAAAUAGUAACUAAAAUUUAUUUUAGUUAUGUUAAUAAAAUUUUAAAGAUAUUUUAAUUGAAUUAAGUAUUCCAACACAAAAUUUAUGUUCUUAUACAGUUAUAUAUUAAUUCUAACAAAAAAUAUGGUUUCUAUGUUUAGAUUUUGGUAUUAAUAACGCAUACAACAAUGAGGCAGUUAAGUUUCUUCGAUAAAAUAAAAUCAUUUAAAAAAUAAAAAUAAGCUAGUAUGUUUGUUACAUAACAAAAAAAAAUGAUUUUUUCUAAAAAUGAUUUUUUAAAAAAUAAUUUUAAUAGACUGAUAUUAAAAAUAAAUUUUAAAAAAUAAAAAUAUAUAUUAUUUUGAUAUAUUUUCAAGAGAAAAAAAUUAUGAAAAGAAAUUGUUAAUAUUUGAUAUAUUUGAUUUAUGGAGCUAUGAUAAGGGAAUCGUGCUUGUAACACAUAUAACAAUAUUUACAUAGUAACAAGCAUUAUUAAAGAUGCUACACUAGUUGAUUUACAUAUAACAAUAUUUACAUAUAACAAUAUUUACAUAGUAACAAGCAUUAUGUUUCCAAGUGCUAUCAACAAAUAUUAUAACCUCUUAAUUUAUACAAGGAUUGAGCUAAAUUGAUUUAUCAAAUAUUUUAUGUUUUUUUUUUGAAAUAUUGUUAUAGACAUAGAAUCAACAAGUUUAUGUGACAUUCUAUAUUGAUUUUGUGAUAUUUUAAUCACUAAAAGUAUGGGUUUCAGAAAAAUAAAAACCAAACUAAAAAUUGAAAAAAUUAAAAAAUUUCAAACCAACCCAAUCCAAUUUUGUGUUUUUAAAAAUAUCGUAAUGAAAAACACAGCAUUCGAAAAAAAAUACAAUUAAAAAAAAAAUCGUUAGUUUAAGAAAACACCCCCUUCUUUGCAAUUAUUGUCAAUCCCCCACGUGGCUACCCAUAAUUGGACUGUCAAACUGGCAAGCUACAUCCCCAUCUCAAUCAUCACAGCUGUAUAAAUUUCUCGCUCAAGCCAAAAACAGAAACGCACAAAACCCCUCCCCCAACGGAGAAUCAAAUGAUAGCUAGAUGUCUGUGUAACCGACCAAUCGCGUUACCAAAGGAGCCUGCCUAGUACUGACGUGUCACUCUAACAUUUCCAUGACCAUAACAAUAAUAAUCAUAAUCCAACCAUGCCUUACUUUUUUAUUUUGUACCUUAAUAAUCUACAAUUACACUCUUGAAUUAUCCCUCAUUUUUUCAAUGGUAAAGAUAUCCUCGUGUCUGUCACCUUCUACAUUAAGUUUUAUAAAAUUCUUGAUUUUUUUUAAAUUAAUUUUUCAAGUUUUAAUUAUGAAUUGUUUAUGCAAAGAACCAAAAGAAAAAGAAAAAAUUUCUCAAUGUUUUCUGUUACUUGUUUAGCAGGAAAACAUGAAAAAUUAAAUAGAAACAGAACAUCAAAACGAUAGAGAAAACAUGCUGACGAGGAGCAUGAAACUCCACACAUUAAACUAUAAGCACCCACAUGAGUAACCAUUAUGCCCUUGUUUUUGAAGGUUCAGACACUUGAAAGAAACACAAAUGGGCAAACAAACACACGCCCUUAUUUUUCUGGUGCUUCACACAGCAAACACUUAGAUAGAUAAGUCGAUAUCUUCUUUUGGGGGUUCUAUGGUAAAUAAGACUGUUACAAUGUGAAGCCAAUGAAACAGUAGGAAUUACUUCCACCAAUCAAAUUCUUCUUCUUCUCCUCAUUCUUCCCAUCCAUCAUCUCUGGUCCACAUUAUGUAAGUGUUGGUUGGCACCGAGCAAUCAUCGCUUGAAUCCUCAGCUACUUGAGAUAUCUGUAAACCAAUUCAAGCAUGACGUACAUAUUUUAACUUGUAAAUCUUUUUUAUUGAGUGAAACUAGAAAGAAAUCAAAGUCAGAUCAGCAGCACCUUAUAUCGAGCACUCAUUGAACCAUUUGGUGUAGUGUCAAAAUUUGUAGUCAGCUUUGGGCAUUCAGACACCUUCAACUUCUUCAAACGAGGGAACAAGAAAUCAUAAUAUCCGAGAAUGAAGGAGAUAAUGCUUGGUAAUUGUUCUAGCGACAGCUCCCGCAGAUUAGGGAGCACCAUCUCCUCAACAUCGACAGGUAAAGCAUUAAUAUCAUCUUGCCCAAAGACUCCCAAUAAUCUAGAAGCUUUUGUUACUCUAAGUAUUUUGAGCUUCGGGAGACCUGAAGCCAUGGCUAUUGGGAAGAGAUUCUUCAACUUUCUGCAUUCUCUGACCUCAAUUUUACACAAACUAGGAAAGCAUAAAGAUUGAAGAUGACUUACUGACAAUAUCUGAUCCCUUUCAUCAUCAUCUUUAGCAAUGAUUUGCUCAAGUUUCUCGCAUAACCAUAUCUUUAGAACUUUUAGGUGAACUAGACCGGCAAUCAUGCUGUAAGUGAACACAUGUGUGAUUCUCUUACACUCAUUCACCUCUAAAGUAGUCAAAUUACUCAGCACGAGACUCUUCCAUGUACUGCUCAUGCUUGUGUCAGGCAGGGACUUCAAUUUUAAUGUUUCCAGACUUGUUAACCCCUGCAUCAAAAGAAAACAAGGGCACCAAUUUGUUAGAUAUAAUUCAAAGUAAUUUCUGUGCACAUUCAAACUAUAUUUAUCCCAAUACUUCAACCAAAUUCUUAUCACAGAAGGAUACAAACAGACAGGGCAAUAAGGCAUGGGACUGUGAAAUCAUAAGUCGCAGGAGUGAAACAAACAGCUCAUUAUUAACAGACGGAGCUUUAUCGUCCCGUCCACAUACUUUCAUUAUUUGGGGGAAGAACCUCAAUUUCACUGUGAUUGGGAAUGCAUAAAGAUUGAAAAUAUAGGACUCAUUUCAUUACAAUAAGUAAUUUCUAACUUCUUAAGCUCUGCAUCAAGAGACAGGGAAUGAGAUUGUUAGAAAUUUAUCUAAACUGAGUGGAUGGCUAAAGCAUUUAUCUUCACCUAUCAACUACUUCAGUUUUAGAAAUUUGGAGGAAGAAAGAAGAAAUUACCACAAUGUAUCGAAGUUGAGAAUUUAACUUGAAAAGGAAAAAACAUUAGCGGAGAAAUAUAAAGGACGUACUUGAAGCUGUGCCAACAAAUUACCCAAUUCUUCGUGGCCAAGGAUGCUUAGAUUUUGCAGAAAAGGUAAUUGGGCAGCACGAUUCUUUGGACCAAAAAAGCUGGAAUUUGAUUUAGACGAAAGAUCCAUUUCUCUUAGUCGAGGCAACUUGAAGAUGCCAUCUCUGGGGAGUGCAUCUUCUUCCUCGCUAUAAAAUAUUUGCUUUAAAUUGUCAGCAAAUAUAGUCAUCUGUUCCAGGUUCAGAAGACUUGGAGCCACGGAGACAGGGAAGACAUAUUCCAGUUUACCACAGUGUCUAAUUGUCAUCUGUUUCAGGUUCACAAGACUUGGAGACAGAGAGCUAGGGACGACAUAUUCCAGGUUAUCACAGUCAGAUAUAAGUAGAGUUUUUAAUUUUUGGAAGCUUAGAAACUCUGGAAUUAUUGCCCUUUCAUCAUCCUGUUUUCUGACAAUAUACUUCAAUUCAUCGCAACAGCUUACCUCAAGUGUUUCUAGCUGUAGUAGACUUUGAGCGAGGGACGGUGUGAAGAUAAAGGUCAGUUUUGCAAGAAGAAACAACUUCAGAUGAACAAGAUUUUGCGAAAAAGGUAAUGGGGCAGCAACAUUCUUUGGACCAAAAAAGCUGUAAUUUGAUUUAGACGAAAGAUCCAUUUCUCUUAGUUGAGGCAACUUGACAAUGCCAUCGCUGGGGAGUGCAUCUUCUUCCCCGCUAUAAAAUAUUUGCUGUAAAUUGUCAGCAAAUAUAGUCAUCUGUUCCAGGUUCAGAAGACUUGGAGCCACGGAGACAGGGAAGACAUAUUCCAGUUUACCACAGUAUCUAAUUGUCAUCUGUUUCAGGUUCACAAGACUUGGAGACAGAGAGCCAGGGAAGACAUAUUCCAGUUUAUCACAGUCAGAUAUAAAUAGGGUUUUUAAUUUUUGGAAGCUUAGAAACUCUGGAAUUAUUGCCCUUUCAUCAUCCUGUUCUGUGAUGAUAUACUUCAAUUCAGCGCAGCGGCUUACCUCAAGUGUUUCUAGCUGUGGUAGACUUUGAGCGAGGGACGGUGUGAAGAUAAAGGUCAGUUCUGCAAGAAGAAACAACUUCAGAUGAACAAGACUUUGGAGGCUGACAUGUCUGGUGGGCCCCUUCCAUAUACAUUUGAGCUGAAGUAAACGUGACAGCUUUAACGUUAUUAAAGAUGACAGCAGCGGCAGCUCCUUCUCCUCCUUGCUUCCUUCACCCAAUUCAAAUACCUCUUCCAAUGAUUCGCAGCUCUCAAUAUUCACACUCCUUAGAUUUUUCAAAGCUUGCAGCAAUUUUGCUGGAAACAGAGUGCAGAUAUCCUCACACCCAUCCACGUCUACAAAUUCUAAUCUUUGUAAGAAGCCCUUUCGCUGCCCAGAGAACUGAGACAAUGAAUUUAUUAUAUUUUCUAAACCCGCCACCCUUUUAAAAACAAUUUGAGACACAGUAGGAAACAACUGCUCAAAUGUCUUUGCAUUUAAGGAUGUGGCGCUUAUACCACCCAAAAAUAAUCUUGUCGAGGUUGGGUAUCCUACUGGAUCCCCUGUUGAUGAAUAAUAAUUCCCUAAUAUUAUAUCAUAUUUGUACAACCUGGGAAAAACAAAAUCGCUUGGCAUGGAUUUAACCUCCGGUAUCCUCAAUGAUAAUACAGCUAACUGAGACAAUGAAUUUACUUCUUUUAGGCUUGCAUUCAUUAUUCCAGUGCUUGUCCAAACAUCCCAUUCCUUAAAGCUGUCUUUCCCGAUCAGCAGUUCUUCUAAUUUCUUCAACCUUCCAAUCAAAUUCAUAGGAAUUUCUCUUAGACUCUUACAACCUGUCACAUCCAACAACCUUAACUCCUUGAGCUCUCCUACUCCUUCAGGUAAUGUUUCAAUGUAGUAGCACCUCAUAAAACAAAGAAUCCUAAGUCUUUGCAGCUUUCUCAACAAAUUUAGGCCAUUACAUUUACACUCGAUCAAAAGCAAAGAUAGAAGGUUAGAGAAAACUUCAAUUGCUGUCAUCUCUUUAAAAAAACUUCCUGGAACAUUCAAAUCAUCACCCAGUUCUAACAACAGAACUUUGAGCCGUGGACAUGCCAAUGCUUCAGGAAGUUUUGUUAGUUUAUUGCCCAAUAACGAAAUUGUUGUACAGCCUUCAACGCUUUCAAUACUCCUUGGCCACUUCUUCAAUACCAUGAAUCCAUAUUCUUCUGAUGAUGCUAUCUGAAUAGCAACAUCACGAACCAAGUCAUGCAUUUUCACAUGUUCUCCAGUUUCAGUGCCCAACAGCAUGCAAGAAUCUUUGAGGUCUUUGAUAGCUGCAUAAACUUGUUCCCUUGCAUCUUCAAUGGAUUUCACAUCUUGAUGUAACCCAUAGCCGACUGCAUAUCUCGUCAAGUCCUCAAUUGGAAUGUUGUAAUCUUCUGGAAAUAAACAGCAUAGCAAGAAACAUAACUUGGUUUCCUUGGGCUUCAAAUAAUCAUAGCUCAACUUAAGACAUGCAUAUGUUCGUCCAUCAAUUUCUCCCAGGUCUGGAAAUUGAGAGUUUUUGAGCAGUUUAGAUGCUGCUUCCCACUCAUAUGCAUCUUUACCUCUUAGAGCCCUUCCCACUGCUACAAGUGCUGUAGGCAAUCCUUGGCAUUGUCUCACAACCUGCUUUGCCACUAUGUUUAAGGUAGAUUCCCCAUCACUUAAACCUGCAAUGAUUUUGAAUAAAGCCCAUGCUUCAUUUUCAGACAAGAGACUUAAAAAAACUUUUUUCUGGCACCCCAUAUCAGAAGAUAUGUUUUCAAGACGUGUUGUUAAGAGAAUUUUACAACCCCUGUGAUCAUCACCAAAUGGGAUCCCUAUCUCUUUCAAGUUAUUAACUUUCCAAACAUCAUCCAGGAUUAUAAGCAUCUUCUUCUCUCUCAGCAGUCUCUUCCAUAAUCGUUCUGCUCUCCCUUCUUUACUCUUUUCAUCAAAAUGCCGAACUAAACUAUCUGCCAUUCUAUUCUGAAUGUCCAUGACAUCUGGAUUCUGCGACACCGUAACCAUCAAAACUUUAUCAAAAAGCUGCGACUCUGUGGCUAUCCUGCCUACUUCUUUCACCAGGGUGGUUUUACCCACCCCUUCCAUGCCGCACAGUCCGAUCACAUUGACAUUGUCAUCUUUGAGAGCUUUCAUAAUCUGUUUGAAAGCUUCUUUUGAUGAUUCUGCUAUGUUUGCUUUGUGGGACACUGUUUUAAACUUUUUGCUAUUGUCUUCAAGAUUUCUAAAAGUCUCCGUCUUCUUUGCCAAUUCCUUGCUUAACUUGAAUUGUCGUAUCCAAUUUGGACACCAAGUAAAGCAUUUGCCAUUUUUUCCUAUUUCAUUUUCCAAAGGAUUCACACCAUUAAUUUCGUUAUUAGCAUCUUCCAGCCAUUUGGUGACGUCUUUCUCAAUUUCUUCAGCAUUCCUUUCAGCAACGUCGACAGCAUUUUGCAGACGAUCUAGUGCUAAAGCAAGGUUCUGCUUUCGUUCAUUGAAUUCUUUAACACAAUUGUUGAAACCGAACAUGUAGCGGAACUGCCUUAUUGCUGGUUCCACCAAGAGUCCUGCUUUCUUAGAUAUAAUGGAUUCAUCAACACUUUCGAUAGCCAUUUUCCUCCCGUCUGAAUAUCAGAGAAAUAAGGAUGUCGACUGUGAGAGUGAGUAAUUACAAAUAAAACAGGCAUUGAGAGAAUGAGAAUAGGAAUUUUAUUACCUUAAUUUGUGAAAAUAUGUGCGAAAAUCACAGGUACUGUUUGCUCAAUAAAAUAUAGCGAGAAACAGAACAAGAAGGACUUCAGCUCUGUAUGGAAUCCAGCUUAAAAAACAAGUAGUCAAGGUAUAAGUAUACCAAUAAUCAAUUAAUCUCAUCGAUUUCCAUCUAUGUCAUGUAUAAAAGCCAUUUAUUGAUAGCAGUAGAUUUUUUCUUUCUUUCUAAUAUGCAAGUUUACGUUAAUAGGUAUAAUUUUCCGGAUUGAAAUUUGAUAAAAGAUUUCAUAAGCCUUGUUUUUUUUAUGGUGAAAAUGUUAAAUCCAUUGGAGUUUGAAAAAGCCUUCAAAUAAGGCCUAGAAGUAAGUAUUCGGGAUUUGUAACAUUUUUCUAGUAUGACACAUCAACUUCACUUGAUGCAACAAGUAGGACAGAGAAAUAUAAGACUUCAAGAGAAUUGUUUCACUAUAAAAUAGUUGAAAGUUCUUCUAUGAAUACUCAUGUUCUGAAGAUAAUCGGUAAUCGUUAUUUUAUAAAGUGUUGAUUUAGUAUUGUAAUCUUAUUUCAUAGGUAAGAAAUUGAGCCAAUUAACUUUGUCAUUUUAUAAAGGGUUGAUUUGGUAUUGUGAUCGUUAUUUCAAAGCUUUUCUUAGUCCAUUAUCAACUAUCACACUUGCAAACAUUUAUCAUGAAACAUAUAAUGUAUGCAAAAUAUAAAGACAACAACAAAUAACACAAAAACUAGUAGGAACACACUCACCUUAUAGUAGAGACAAACGAAUGAUUAUGAAUGGAAGGUUCACGAUCACUUGCACACUCACACACAUGAUAACUUCUAUCGAUCGAUUCCAACCACAAAUAUAAUUUAUCUAAGGAGUUAUGUAUGUGAUGUUACUAUAGUUAUGGUCUCUCAAGGCCUUUUUCAAAAAAGAAAAAGAAAAGGAUGAACAAGGGGACAUUAACGAAAAGAAUUGAAAAGGAGAAAAGAAUUAGUUGAAUGAAGGAAGCUCUCUGCCACUUCCCUAUAUCACACUCAAUGAACAUGAUUUACCCAUAAAGGAAAAAGAGACAUUCCUUACUUCAAAUUUGCUUUGCUUAUGAAGUAGGCUAAGGACAACAACAUCUGCAAGCUAAAGAGGGAUAAUCAUAAGAUUGUGGUUUGGGACAAAAGAAAGAAUUUUUCCAACAUCCGUCAUCAGUACCGGUGAAUAGGAUAGAAUGAAAGACUUCGGCCCCUUCUAUAUCAGUAUUUUUUAGAAGUUAUUUAAAUUAAAAAGCCAAAAAUAAAUGCAUCUACUGUUGCAGGAAUGGACUAAAAAGUCAGUUAAUCUGCAUAAUUAAAUACUGUUACUGUAAACUACUAGGAAAUUCAUGGGUAAAGCCACAAAAAAAAUGUAAAUUAUACAAGUUAACAAUAGCAUUGAGCAUUAAUUCGAUUAAGUUAAAGCCCUGGUGUGAAUAGAGAGGAUCUUGCCGUUUAAAAAAUAACCAUAGAAACUAUGGAACCCACUAUUUAUUAAUCCAUUUCUAUUUACUAUUUAUUUUUAUUUACUGUAUUUUUAUUUUGAUACCCAGUACCAAUAAAAUUUGAGAUUUCUUCAAUUUUUCAGGUGCAUGCACUAGUCUAAUGGCUUCAUGGUAUUUAUCCUUAACUAUCAGGCUAACCUUUACAGGCUUAGCUAGCAAUCAAUAAUUAAUAUUUUAAUGAAUUCAGUUUUUAUUUAAAAUAAGGAAAAGGACAUUGGUGAAUAAAUAGUUUCCUUAGAGGGCUAAUUUAGAAAAAGAUUUGGAUCACUAGAUCAACUUAUGGGAUACCUGGCCAAGGUCAACCUAUGAGUCAUAAAUCAAUCCAUAUCAAUUAUUUUUAUUAAAAUGAUAAUGUUUUGUUUUUUUUUCUUGAUAUUAAUUUGGCUAAUUUUGAUCAAAUCUUACCAAAUCAGCUGAAUCAGUAAGAACUUAACCAAGUCUGAUUUUAUAGAUCAAUAUUUUAUGUAGUUGAAUUAAAAAUUCAAUUCAAUUCUAGCUCCGAACCCUGAGUUUUGUUUGUUCAAUCUAGCAUACAGGUUUAACAAAUAUGCUUCUCACUUGCAGCUGUGGUUUGCUGCGGGCAUUUGGUAAUUGGGAGAGGCUUUAGUUUCGUACCUGUUGAUCGGGAUUCAUAUACACUUGGACCUCUUAUUUUAUUUUAUACUGGUUGGAUCCAAACUUAAUCCAAUACAAAAUUAACAUAUUUAUUAUUUAUUUAAGAUAAAUGAUAUCGCUUUAACAUAUUAGUGUACACUUAAUAUGAUUAAAUUUAAUUUAAUUAAUUAAAAUCUCACCGUAAAUUUUUUUACCAUUUGCAGCAAAAAAACAGUUGACACCUUAUUAAUAUAAUCAAUAUAGUACAAAAAUUAUAGUGAUUUAAAACAAUUCAUUAAAAUGUUCCUAAAUGUUUUUAUUUUGUGACAAGGGUUUUCGUGUUAUUUGUUAUGUAUUGUCACUGUCAUAAUCUAUUUCUAGAUUAUUUCUUAAAUUCCAUAAUUAGAUUUUUUAUAAGCCAAUUUGAUUUAAUCAUUGGUCAAAUUAAAUUUUAAUUAUGUUUAAAAAUUUAUUUGGAUCUAAUUGAAGGAUUUAAUUAGAUGCAAUGACUUAAUUUUACUUUAAAUAGAUCAAAUUAAUUUUAUUAGGUGGCUUAAUUGGUGAAAAAUUAAGUUUGGAAGCCCAAUUUGGGCUUAAUUGAGAAUAUUGGGAUUUUAGGAGACCAAAUUUAAUUUUUACCAAGUCAAUUGAUUCAAAUCAAGGGUAAAAUUGCAAGAAAAUCAAAGUUUUGGGGUCAAUUAAGGGCUAAAUUAAAGAAAUUCACAGCCAAGAACUAUUUUGCAAAAGACGUCAAACUAUAGGAACUCAAUUGAUUGAAAUCAACGGUGGAAUUGAAGAGAAUUGAAAGUUUAAGAAUCAAUUGAGGGUUAAAUUGAAUAAAUCCAAGACCAAUGACCAAAAUGAAAUAGGUGAUGAAAUUCGAGGCUGAUAUUGAAGUUCGGCAAGGGCAAAACUACUUAAAAUUAGAAGUUUAGGGUCAAUUAGGGGUGCAAUUCAAAGAAAUUAAAAGCUGGAGGACUAAACUGAACUUUGACCAAACCCCUAAAAUCAAACCUUAAGAGCCAAAACGAUGAUGUUUCAUUUAAAUGGAACAACACAAUUUGACCAAAACAACGCCAUUUUGACAAAACAGAAUCAAAACAAAAGGGGUAGACCAGAAGACGCAUUAUCUAGAUUGUUCAUCUUCUUCAUCAUUAGCCUCCCAGAAAGCUUCUCAAAUGGCUAAUUUCUCAAAGCAUUUAAUGUCUUGUCUCUCCACCAAAUUUGAAAACAUUUGCACGCAAUUAGUGGCCUAACGUCUGGUGUGGUCCUUUAUGGCCGAUUGAUGCCAUAGUGGUUGUGGCAUCGCCCUAAAGUGGCCAACCCGACCAGCCCUUCUGUAGUAACUUGUCAGGCCAUGAUUGCAACUUUAAAUCAAUUGUUGGGAUCCUACAAAGUUGAAUUAGAGGCCAAGAUUUGAAACCAUUAAAGACAAAAUGCCCCUCUUCCACACCCUAUAAAUAGAGGUGGAUUUCAUGACCUAAGGGAGGAAACAAUCGGGUCCAAAGUUGAUAAACAAUCAGCCUUCCCCCUAGUAUUUUAUAUGCCAUCAUAAUUUUUUUCUUCUUCUUCGCUGUCGUGAACUCGGCUUCUUUAGCCACCACAACCUCACCAACAACGUGACCUUUGGUGGCCCAGCACCCUUGCCACUCCAUCCCCUUGCCACUCCAUCACCUUGCCACUCCUCCCUUCUCCCUUAGACAAUAACCUCCGCAAGCUUCUUCUUUUUCAUCCCAAACCAAUAAUGACCCCUGCACCUUCAACCUCCACUCACUAGUAACAACACCAGCAACUCUAGCAAACCAAUAAUUGCCACCAUUUCAGUUUUGUUCUUCUCCAACACCGGCAGCAGUAGCAGCAGCAGCAGCUCCAACCACGCCAAUGUUUUCUCCUUUUUCUCUCUUCAACAGCCAACACCGCCCACCACCGUCUCCACCAACGGCUCCGACAGUAGUCGACAAAAAGACCAAUCAGCCACUCCUUCUGUAAUAUCCCAAUUUUGGAUUCUCCAAAAUUUUCUUGAAUGUUAUUUUUAUUUCUAUUUUCAUUCAUAAAAAUCCAAAAAAAGUUAAGAAAAAAAGUUUAAAAUUCAAAAAUAUAUUUUUCUCAGGUCAACCACCUUUUCCAUGAAAAUGAGCUUAUUGGGUUAAUACGAGUCAAGCCAUGUUGACCAAGGUAAAAAAUAAGUUUUAGGCCAUUUGGGGUCAAAACAAUCAUUUUCGGUCAAAACUGAGUCAAUCAGGUCAAUAUGAGUCAAACCAUGUCAACCAGGGUAAAAAAUGAGUUUCAGGCUGUUUUGGGUCAAAAGCCAUCAUUUUUGGUCAAAACCGAGUCCAUCAGGUCAAUAAGAGUCAAUCCAUGUCGGUCGAGGUAAAAAAAAGAGUUUCAGACCAUUACGGGUCAAAACCAAGUCCAUCGGGUCAAUACAGGUCAAACCAUGUUGACUGGGAUAAAAAUUGAGUUCCAAGCUAUUUUGGGUCAAAACUGUUAUUUUCGGUCAAAACCCGAUCAAUCGGGUUGAUCCUAGUUGAAAAAUAUUUUUUAAUGUUUGAAAUUAUUUUUCCAGUAAUCAAAAUUGAAUUUUAGCGGUGGAAACGAGUUUUUUCUAAUACUAAUUCGAGUUUUUAGUUUUAUCCAUUUAUAUAUAUAAAAUAAAACAAAUCAAUAAUGCAAAAGUUUUAUUAUAGUAGCUGGGACAGGUCAAAACAUUUCUUCAGGACAGCGCCGUGCCCUCUGGUUAUAAACAUUCGUGUCCCCUCAGCAUCAACAUUGGCUAUAAAAGGCAGUGAAAUUUUACUAAAAAAAGAGAAAAAAGGAGAAGAAAAAAAGAAGACGUGAAUCCGAAUGAUAAUACUAUUCAUGUUUUUUUAGUUUUUUCUUCACACGAGUAAGUUAUUGAUUUUUUUUAAAACAAUUCAAAAAAUACCAAAACUAUCAUGACCUUUAGAUCUAAUAAUAUCUUAUCUAAUACAUCUUAACACACUCGAUGAAAACCCAAAACCAUCUCAGCCCUUAACCAAAUCUGCCCUUGGAUCUAAUUUUUCCACGUCACUAGGUGUACCAACAAUCCUGUGCAGCUAUCACACCGAAGCCAAUAUCUGUCCAUCAGGACCGACUGAUCAAAUUUUGAUCGAGCCAACCAUAGCCGAAGGAUCAAUUUAGAAGUAAUCCAGCGGUCCAAAAGCUUUAGGUGCACCAGAUUACCACUCUCCCCUCUCGCCGACGAUUCUCUCUCUCUCAUCAGAUCUCCCAACUUCGGCCACAUAAAGACUCCGGACCACCACAAAAAGGUUCCUCACCUCUACGCAAGCAAACCCAUGCAUUUUGCAUCGCCUUCGACAUCACAUCUUGCCAGUAAAAGGCUGCGACGUCUUCGGCCACCCGAAGAUUCAAGCUGUCGAUUCUCUCUCAUCAACCAUCAACGGCCAACGAAAAAACCAUCAUCAUAAUCCUCUCUUCUAGAUAUACCAGAAGCUACCCUUUUUGGCUCAGAAUCCCGCCGAAGAAUUUCACUCCUCCAACAGUGGUCGCGCAUAAGCUACACGCGCCACCAGGGUUGUUUUCAUAAUUUCCUGAGAAUUUCAGGGAUAUUUCAGUCUUUUCCCCUACAGUGUAACUCAGGUAAUUUUGGGGUUCCUAGGGAUAUUUUAUUUGUUUUUCACAAGUAUUUAUAAACUUUUCUUUGUAUGUAAAAUACCCAAAAUAAAUAUAAAGAAGAAUGACAAGGCAGGUCCGAGACUUAUUUUAUCCCGUCAUCAUGCGCGGGUCCAAAGACUAAUUCUUAAAUAUGGGUUAUGCCAAUUUUUUUUAGCAAUUAUAACAUAAUCUUCUUUUUCAUGAAUGAAUGUUAUUCGUCAACAUGUCUCCUUUUACAAAUAAAUACCAAUGUUAAAAGUUUAAAAACAAAUAUGAAUUAUGUUCAUUAUGUUUUUUUACAACUUGAACGCAAUUCUUCUUUUUAGGAUUAAACGUCAACAUUUCAACAAGUCUCCUAAUUUUAGGGACUGAUGUCAACCCUCUAAAAAAAUAAAUUACAAAUAAGCUCAAAAGAUCAUAGCAUUUGAAUAAAAUAAAAAACACAAGUAAGGGUAACCUUUCUCUUGAAAAGAUGUUUUGAGGGUGGUGUUUAUCUUCCCUUAAUCAUAAGUAACUCAGUAUCUGAAUUUCUUGGACCAAUGUCUAAUUUGAAAUUUCUAGUUUCCCUCAAAUUAUUAGAAGGUGACUCCAAUAAAAUCUUCAUUUCCUCAAUUAAUCUUUUUAUUAAUAAAAAAAAUGGAGCCACUGUUUUCACGUCAUGUAUCGAUAGAAUACCCAUUGAUCUAUAUAAAACUAAAGAAAAACUUAUUCAAGAUCAUGUUAUAUUGACUAUGAAAAGUUGACAUGGGCCAAUUAUUAUGGGAUUGAGGGAGAAAUAAAUACUAAAUUCUGGGAAUUAGGGUGCUUAAGUAAAAAAAAAUGAGCAAAAACUUUCAUAGAUAGGUAAGAAUGAAAUUGCCUAACUUGUCCAAAACUAUUUAUGACAAGCUUGAAUACCAAGAUACUCUAAAGCAAUACAACAAAACCAUACACAUUUCUAUUUUCUUAAUUUGUAAUUUAGCAAUUAGUGGUAUCCUUGGCCAAGCUUGUGCAAAUCAAGACAACGUCCACCUCCCUAGUUUGGUCUAAAGCAUACAAUCUAUGCUAGGACUAGAGGUAUCAAGGGGAAAUAAAUCAUCAUAGCUACUAGUUUGGUCAAAAACAUACAAUCUAUGCUAGGACUAGAGUUAUUUGACUGCAAUUGGAACGCUGAUUAGUACUUAAAACUGUAUUUUUAUCAAGGUUUUAUAUCAUCUUUUUGCACUUGAAGUAUCAAUAACUCCUUAACUAAAGCAUGUUUUAUAAUAACAUAUCUAAUAAUAUAAGAUAGCUUUAAUUUAUGGUAAAUGUUCAUCCUAAAUUCAGGCCUAUCACAUAAAUAAAAGGAUUGAUUGAUGAGUUUAAGUAUUGAAAUUGAAAGGACAAAGAGAGGGUCAAACUUAGAAAAGAGAUGCUGGUGCAAUCCAAACUGGAACACUAUUUGGAAAUUAGGUCAUAUCUGGAGCUGUAGAUCUCGGAUUUAGGUCCACUUUAUAUGGAUGGAAAGGUAAGAAAUGGGCCUACAACUUUCAUGUGGAGCCCAAGAUUUAAAAAAGCCGUUUUCAAGUGCAAAUUAUAUCAACAACGAAGAAGUUUGAAUCUGUCUUGCAGCCUAAACACUGUUCAGUGUUCAGCCCAUAUCUUGAGUUCUAGAAGUCUACAUGACCUUAAUUUUUUUUCCUGGAAAGCUGAGACAAUUUCCUAGAACUUUCAUGAGUAAAGUUGGUUCAAAUUCUGACAUUAUCAAUGAUGUUCUAUUCAGACAAGAAGAUAAGGAUUGUCACCAAGUCAAGAUGUGGCCACCCACUCAUCAAUUAUUCAUCAAAUCAAUAGUUCCAAAUUUUGACCUAUAAAAGAAGGCAUUUACCAUGUAUUUAGGCAUCUUGGUUUUCAGAUCAAGAUCAUGCUCUUGCUUUCUCUCUUUGUAUUUUCGCAAUACUUAAGUUUUGCUUUCAUUAAUAUCUAGUUUAUGCUUUUCAUUUCCUUUCCUUUACUUAGUUAACUUUAUCUUGUUUAUGCUUUUAUCUUGUUCAUUUAUGUUUCUUUCUUUUAUUAUGUUUAGCUAAGUUUAUUAUGUCAAGGUUAAAAGGUUACACUAAUGGUGUAAGAAUAAGUAUAGUGUAAACUCAUCAUGGACUUUAAUGUUUGAUACUAACAUGUUUUAUAUUUGUUAUCUUGUUCACUUUUAAUACUUUGCUUGUUAAAUGGUCAAUCUAGAUUUAUGUUAUAUAACCCUUGGUACAACAAAUACUUGGCACUUUCAUUGCCCAAACCGUAUGGUAUAAUCAACACCUGAGCUAUGAAAGGAACUUGAUUUGUUGUUAACAUAAGUUAUAAUCAUGAAUGCCUAACAACAUUUACAAAUAUUAGCAUUAUUCAAAAAAGAUAACUAAUGUAAUCAUGUUAACAAUUUAUAAUCCGAUUGGAACCUCCUUUGUGUGUGGUUUCCAGUUGAAUAAUAAGAGUUUAUACUAUACUUGUUUGAAAUACCAUUAGUGGAUCCUCUAACCUUGACAAUUAUUUUUAUCAUUAUUUAGUCCUCACAUUAAUCUUACAUCUCAAAGUUCUCAUCAACUUCUUCUUAUUCUUCUUCUUUAUUAUUAGUAUUAUUAUUAUUAUUAUUAUUAUUAACAUUAAUAUUAGUAUUAUUGUUGUUGUUGUUGCUACUACUGUUGUUGUUGUCGUCGUCGUCUAUAAUUUAUACAAUUAACCUCCCUGUGGUUCGACCCCGGUCUUGCCGGAUUAUUUAUUACUUCGACACUCCUGCACUUGGGAGAAGAUAUCAAUCUUUUGAUCAUGUCAAAAGCUCAUAUUAAUUGAUUUAUGGUGCUAAGAUACAUAAAUUAUAGUCACUAUCACCAUCAUUAUUAUCAUCAAAUUUAUAAUUAAUUUCAUUUUUCAGUAAAAGAUAAUAUCAUCUGUAUCCAAUGAUUGCCAACUUCACCACAGAUUUAACAUUUCUAUAGUUAACAUUUCUUUUGCAUGUUAGGAUUUCAAUACUAAUGAGUGUAUUUUCUAAAGUUGAAAUAGUGCUACCCAAUCUAGGUUCAAGUGGGAUGAUGAAUUAAAGAGCAGUUGUUAUUUCAAUACUAAUGGCUCAUAUUUGAUUUAUGGAGCUAUGAUUAGGGAAUCGUGCUUGUAUCACAUAUAACAAUAUUUACAUAGCAACAAGCAUUAUUAAAGAUGAUACACUAGUAAGUUUCCAAAUGCUAUCAACAAAUAUUAUAACCUCUUAAUUUAUAUAAGGAUUGAGCUAAAUUGCUUUAUCAAAUAUUUUUUUUUUUUGAAAUAUUAUAUAGACAUAGAAUCAACAAGAUUAUGUGACAUUCUAUAUUGAUUUUGUGAUAUAACGCAUAUUACAGUGCACAUUGAUAGAGUGAGUCUGGGUGGACAAACUUUUGGUGGUACACGUGGUGCUUAAUGAUUUGACGGCUAUGGAGAGAAGUUACAUGAGGGAAAUAAGGUGGAAAAAGUGGCCUCUCUAGAUUUUGGAAAUGUUCUCCGAAGAAAGAAGGAAAAUAAUUUCAAAGGUGGAUAAAAAUGGGGUAAUAUCAGAUUUGGAACAUAAUCUUGGUUGGUGAAGAAUAACAUAAUCUAAGGAGAAAUCUAGGGCA